rnacentral:lncRNA from 1 species
CAAAGUAAAAUUGUCUUUAUUUAUGUGAGAUCCCAGAUAGUCCUAUAUAUAAAAUAUAAUAGAGCUAAACUCUUAAUCCUACUUAAAUAUUUUUGGUAAUAGUAAGGCCCAAGAAGUUAAAAGAAUUAAACGUGAUAGGACGGAAGUAGCCCUAAGAUGAAUGACCCCCUUAGAAGUUGGGACGUCACAGAUGUAUUAAUAUAUGUAACUAAAUAUCCAGUUCCGAUACAAGGAUAUAUUAUAAAUAAUAUUAUUAUAUACAAUUAUAUAGAACUAGGCUACUAUACUAUCGGUAGCACGGAGCGCUCCGUGCUACCAAGUUGUUUUCGAUGAUGCGGCUUCCAAAUCGACGAUCGGCUCCGUUAGACUUGAUCUACACUAUUGAAAGUAUUUAGAAACUAAAUUUCAUAAUUUUUCGAUAUCAUUUACCUAUCAAACAAGUAGUCUAAAAUUGAACGGCUGAAAAUAAAAAUAUCAUAAAAAAUGAUGAUAAAAGAUUUAAAUUCAAGAUCAGAUACACUGAUCUUACUUUAAAUAGUGAAAAAAAAUUUCUAUAAAAUUUUCCUAGCAUUUGGAUUGUUUUACACCGUUAAACUCACAAACACACCACAUCGGCCAUUAAAAUUGUCAAUUUUGAGAUCUUUUGAUCACUAGUCAAAUGAUGUCGAAAAAAUCUAAAAUUUAGUUUCCAAAUACUUUCAAUAGUGUAGAUCAAGUCUAACAGAGCCGAUCGUCGAUUUGGAAGCCGCAUCAUCGAAAACAACUUGGUAGCACGGAGCGCUCUGUGCUACCGAUAGCAUACUAGCCGGACUCUAAUACUUUUAUUUUAAUUUAAAACAAAAUAAAAAUAUAUAUGGGCUAUGUGACAAAUGAAUAAAGUGGGCAUCAAUAAAGCCCGAUGGGUAUUGGGCUUUGGAUUUUAAAAGAAAAAUUGGGUAGAAGCCCGAUUCAAAACCUAAAAUUUUUUAAACCGGGUUUGGGUAUAGUAUGACCCGACCCGACCCGAACCCGGCCCAAUUCCAGCCCUACUGUUAAUAAUACCAAAGAUAUGCACAUAUAUCUUCUACUAUAACUAAAGAUAUGCACAUUUAAUAACCUCAUAAAUACCAUAUGAAAUUUGAAAUAAAAAUUGUUGGGUUGUAACAUUCUCGUGUACAUACUUAAAGAGAGGCAGAGAGGCUCCAUUGCCAUUGCCCAUUGGAGUUUGUCACAAUCUUGAUCCUAUGGCAUCCACAUUGUCAUGUACAUUUGGUUUGCUAUGGCUUUCCCUUCUUGUGGUAGGCAAAAGCAUGGAAGAGGAGAUCGACAGCAAAGAGAAAGAGCAAAUUCCGGUAUAGUUGCAUGUUUUCCAAAAUGUUUUAGCCAGUUGUUAGUACUAGAAUCUCUGAUCUUUAUAUUUUCUUUCAAUGAUUAAUUGCAUACUGUUCCUCGCAAACAUAAUGAAUUGUAAAUAUAUGCUUAUAACGUUCAAUUUUCAAAAGUUAUCCCUACAAAAGUCUUAAUGUUUUCAGAUAUGUUUCUACCGUUAGAAUCUAUUAGAAAAGUUUAGUUAACCACAGAUUAAAUACUUUACCAAAAUAUUAGGACUUUUGUAUGGAUAACUUAUAAAAGUUGAACUUUACAAAGAUAUAUUUGCAAUUCACUAUAUUUGCGUAGACUUGUAUGCAAUUAAUCCUUCCUUCAAUCAUAGAUGUCAGAUCUAUUUAACUUCCAGCUGACAAAUUAAGCGAUGUCAAAUCCAUCUCACACUAGUACUAAUAACUCAUUGGGACUACCGUAUUUAAUCAUGGUUAUUAGUAUUAGAGUUUUUUAUCCUUAUGUUGCCCAUUAUAUUCUAUUUUCUAUCUGAUGUGGGAUUAUUGGGGCGUCACAUAGCUGGCAAACAAAUCAUUGAAACAUAAAUGCAUAUAAAAUGUACUAAAAAUGUUUAAAAAAAUUAAUAGUAAAUUUAACUAAUCAUACAUUAUCAAGGGCCCAAAUGCUUUAACAAUCAUAAAACACCAUGAAUUGUUUUGGAGGCAAGUUUAAAAUGAGUUUCUCACACUUGUACCUAAGGAGCUAUGUGGUUCCACAGAAGUGUGAAAAAAAGUUUUAUGAGAUAAAAGUUUUUUAUGAAUUUUUUAAAAAGUUUUUUGCCUGUUUGGUUCUAAAGAAAAUUAACUUUUUGAAAACUUUUUUUUUCAAAUUUUAUCAAAAAUUAGUAUUAUUAUUUUUUAAAUUUUUUAAUAAAAACAAAAAUACUAAUUUUUUAUGCAAUCUAGAAAUUAAAAAAAAACUGUUUCAAAAAGUUAAUAUUUUUUGGCCUUUUUGCAUAAAAAAUCCACUUAUUUUGGACUUUUGCAAAACCGGGUCACCUUUUUCGUUUUUGCAAAUUCGGUCCGCUUUUUCAGCAAACUGACCAAAAUACCCUUAUUAUUUUUUCUCUUUCCUCUUUCUCUCUCCUCUUCGUUCUCUCGUUCUUUUUUUUUCGCCAAAAAAAAAUAGCGAAGGCCAGGCGGGCGCGCCGCCGGAGCACCGCUAGGCGGGCUCUUCUUCUUCUUCUUCUUCCUGCAGGAGCAAUUUUUUUUUCUCUUUUUCUUUUUCUUCUUCUUUUUCCUCCUGCUGGAGCUUUUUUUUUUUAUUUUUUUCCCUCUUCUUCUUCUUCUUCUUCCUCCCGCUCCGGCCCCGCGCCGCCCCUCAUCGACUUCUUCGGCCGCGCCCACGACCUCGACCCCGCGCGCCGACGACCCCCUCCUCCUCUUCCCCGCCGCCGCCGCCGAGCCCACCCCCACCGUCGUCUCCGUCGCCGUCGCCGAGCCCACAUCCCGCCCCCUGCCGGCCGAGCCCACGUCUCCGUCGCCGUCGCCGAGCCCACGUCCCACCCCUACCGUCCCACGUCCCACCCCCACCGCGGCAGAGCAGGAGCACCGCAAGCGCGUGCUCCGCGAGCUCAACUCCCUUAUCUCCGGCGUCGGCGGCGGGGGCGAGGGCGGGCCGGACGACGUGGUGGAGGAGGAGGUCACCGACACGGAGUGGUUCUUCCUCGUCUCCAUGACCCAGUCCUUCGUCAACGGCGCCGGGCUCCCGGGGCAGGCCCUCUUCUCCGGCGCGGGGCCGGGUCGGCGGCGGGGCCAGUGCACGCGGCGGCGGCGGCGGGCGGGCACGCAGGCUUCGUAAUGAUGUAAUGGUGCACCAUUACACCAUUAAUACACCAUUAAUGGUGUAAUGGUGUAAUUACACCAUUAAUGGUGUAAUGGUGCAAUUACACCAUUAAUAGUGUAAUGGUACACCAUUACACCGUGUAAUUACACUAUUAAUGGCGUAAUGGUUACACCAUUAAUGGUGAAUUACACCAUUAAUGGUGUAAUGAUGCACCAUUACACCGUUUUUUUUUUUUUCCGCCGACGCCAUCUGCCGCAGCCCCUGGGACGUCCACGUCGUCGUCCUUUCGACGACGACGAUGCACGCCUCCUCCGCCGCCUCAUCCGCCGCCGCGGUCGUCAUCGCUGUCGGUGGCGCGGCGGAGGAAGAGGCUGCGGAGUUCGUUGGCGGCGGCGGCGGCUGGAGCGGAGCGAACCGGAGUGGCGCCCGGCCACGCCGUCGACGCGUCCGGCGUCGGCCUGCUGCACUCGGCCAUCGCAUGGCGCGGGGCCGGGUCGGCGGCAGGGCCGAUGCAUGCGGCGGCGGCUGCGGCUGCGGCUGCUUCUUCUUCUUCUUCAUGGUGUAAUGGUGCACCAUUACACCAUUAAUGGUGCACCAUUACACCAUGAAAUUACACCAUUAAUGGUGUAAUGGUGCACCAUUGCCCCCUUCCCUCCCCUCACGUGCGACACGCACGGGGCCCACUCCAUCCUGGUCACCCUCUCCCACCACCUCCCCACGGCGCGCGGGGGCGAGNAGCCCACCCCCACCGUCGUCUCCGUCGCCGUCGCCGAGCCCACAUCCCGCCCCCUGCCGGCCGAGCCCACGUCUCCGUCGCCGUCGCCGAGCCCACGUCCCACCCCUACCGUCCCACGUCCCACCCCCACCGCGGCAGAGCAGGAGCACCGCAAGCGCGUGCUCCGCGAGCUCAACUCCCUUAUCUCCGGCGUCGGCGGCGGGGGCGAGGGCGGGCCGGACGACGUGGUGGAGGAGGAGGUCACCGACACGGAGUGGUUCUUCCUCGUCUCCAUGACCCAGUCCUUCGUCAACGGCGCCGGGCUCCCGGGGCAGGCCCUCUUCUCCGGCGCGGGGCCGGGUCGGCGGCGGGGCCGGUGCACGCGACGGCGGCGGCGGACGGGCACGUAGGCUUCGUAAUGAUGUAAUGGUGCACCAUUACACCAUUAAUGGUGUAAUGGUGUAAUUACACUAUUAAUGGUGUAAUGGUUACACCAUUAAUGGUGUAAUUACACCAUUAAUGGUGUAAUGGUUACACCAUUAAUUACACACCAUUAAUGGUGUAAUUACACCAUUAAUGGUGUAAUGGUUACACCAUUAAUUACACCAUUACACCAUUAAUGGUGUAAUGGUGCACCAUUAAUGGUGUAAUGGUGCACCAUUACACCGUUUUUUUUUUUUCGCCGACACCAUCCGCCGCAGCCCCUGGGACGUCCACGUCGUCGUCCUUUCGACGACGACGAUGCACGCCUCCUCCGCCGCCUCAUCCGCCGCCGCGGUCGUCAUCGCUGUCGGCGGCGCGGCGGAGGAAGAGGCUGCGGAGUUCGUCGGCGGCGGCGGCGGCUGGAGCGGAGCGAACCGGAGUGGCGCCCGGCCGACGCCGUCGAUGCGUCCGGCGUCGGCCUGCUGCACUCGGCCAUCGCGCAGGGCCGGCCGGACCUCGUCCAGCUGCUGCUGGAGUUCGGCGCCGACGUCGAGCCCCCGGGCAGCGGGCCGACGACGCCGCUCGAGGCGUCGGCGCCGGCGGGGGAGGCACUGAUCGCGGAGUUGCUCCUGGCGCGGGGGACGCAGCCGCGGCGCGGGGCCGGGUCGACGGCGGGGCCGAUGCACGCGGCGGCGGCGGGCGGGCAUGCGAGCACGCUGCGACUGCUUCUUCUUCUUCUUCAUGGUGUAAUGGUGCACCAUUACACCAUUAAUGGUGCACCAUUACACCAUGAAAUUACACCAUNAGUGGAAAAAGCAAAAACGUUUAAGCUAGGCGAAAAAGUCGUUUGACUGGUUUUAUGGGAAUAAUGAAAAAGAGAAAGGAGAAAGAGAGAGGAGAAGCAAGAGAGCAAGAAAAAAAAAAAGCGGCUUUUUUUUUUUGCUUCCGGUCCGCCCGCGAGGCGGCCUCGUGGUGGUCCGCCCGAGAAGAAGAAGAAGAAGGACGUCCUCGUUAAAAAAAAAAGAGAAAAAGAAAAAGAAGAAGAAGAAGGAGGACGACCUCGUGGAAAAAAAAAAAAAAAGGGAGAAGAAGAAGAAGAAGAAGGAGGGCGAGGCCGGGGCGCGGCGGGGAGCAGCUGAAGAAGCCGGCACGGGUGCUGGAGCUGGGGCGCGCGGCGCUCACCCAGAUGCCGUGCGCGACGCUGGCGAUGAGGUAGGAGGAGCGGUUCAAGGACGAGGAGGGGCGCGGCGAGGAGGCGGCGAUGUCGACGCGGGAGCUCGAGCGGGGGCACGCGGCGCAGCAGCUCGAGCGGGGGCGCGUGGCGAGGAAGGGGCGACUCGGGGGCUCGAGCGGGGGCGCGCGGCACCCCUCUACCACCCUCUCCCACUUCUCCUACCUCACCCGGGGCACGCACGGCGUGCACUACCCUCCCUUUCCCCGUUACCACGUGGUAAUGUGGUAAUUACCACAUCCCGAUUUUGCAAAAGCCCAAAAUAAGUGAAUUUUUUAUGCAAAAAGGCCAUAUUUUUUUAACCAAACAGAUGGUAAAGAGCUUAAAGUUAAUAUUUUAACUAUUGACACGCACACAUAUGCGCACGCAUACACAUGCAUGGAGGGCACUAGGCUCAAAAUAAUAUUUAGGGAUAAUGUUUAAUAUGUCUUUCAAAAGUUCAAUAAUAUGUGACCAAAUAUUCUUAUUGAUUUUUUAAAAAAAAUUCUAAUAUUUCUAUUUUUCUGGAGUUUAUUAAGGAGAUUGGAUUUUACUUCACUAAUUACAAUAUAAAUUUAAAAAUUCCGAAUAGUAGUAAGGGAUAAAUAAUCAAAAGCCUCUAAUAUUUAUAUAAUUUCUUUUAGAGCUCAAAAAAUUUGUUUAUAAUUUUUCUAAAGAUUUGUUAUGUACUAUAUCUCUGUUUUACAACGUAGAAAUAUUAUGAUUAGAAAUCUGAUUCAGCGUUCUUCACAGUUUGAAAGGUUUAGUAUUGCAGAAGAUUCAAAUGAAAGCUAUCAUUCAUCAAGUAAUGACUUGUUACCGGGCUUCCAUUAUGAUGUAAUAUUCUUAACUUUCUCUUACAUUACUUGAAAAAAAAAAAUUAGGGUAAACUUUAAAUUGCAACCUUGUGGUUCAGCUUACUUUUUUAACUUUGUUGUCCUAUAAUGCAAAAAGUUUUACUUUAUCAUUCUGUGAUUUAAUUUUUAUUUUACCAAAAAAUUUUAUAGAAAAUAGGGUGGUAAAGUUUUACUUUAUCACCCUGUAGGUCGAAUUGAACUUCAAUUUUUAUUGAUUUUUUCACAUAUUAGAAUAGAAAAAAUAAUUUUUUUCCCUUGUUUUGAAGCUUUAUAAAACUAUACGCAAUACAUAUAACCAAAACAAUUGAGUAAUUAAUAAUUUCAAUUGAAGAGAGGAGUCUGUUAAAUUAUUUGAUAAAGUUUAAGGAUGCAACUGCCAAAAUUAAAAAUUUAGGCGCCUAUUUACAAAAGAGCUAAAGUUCAUGAGGUUUUCUUAUACAUAUGUUUCCUUUUUUAUUUUUUAUAGUUGGCUACAUAUCAAACAUACACAGGUGAAUAUUACGGUACGAAAGCCAAGAUAAAUUUGUGGGGUUGCCCAGAAAUAAAGUCUAAUCAGAGAAGUUCUGCAUCAAUCUGGGUUGUAAAUGAGCAUCAUAAGUUGAAUAUGAUGGUUGCAGGAUUUCAUGUACGUAACACAAAUACCUUUUCGUGUCUCAACAUCUAGUACAAUAUAUAUAAAUUAGGGGCAAUAGCUUAUAUAUCCUUUUAGGCUCCAUUUGGAUCGAAAAUUAGUAGGAACUAGUUAUAUCGGGGAUAGGUACAAGUAUGGAUUUUUGUAGGAAUAAGGAUAUUUUUUUGUUUGGAUGAAAUUGUGAGUAUAAGCUGGAACUAAAAAAAUUAUGUUUGGAUAGUUUUUGGGAAUAAGAGGAAUAGUUGGUCGUUAUAAAUAGAAAUUAAACUUAAAUUAAAAUUAUAAACUUAUAAUUUUAAACUUAUAAUUUUAAAAUUUAAAAUUUAAAAUUUUAAACUUAUAAUUUUAAUUUUAUCCCUAUAAUUUUAAACUUAUAAUUUUAAAUUUAAAAUUUUAACUUAUAAAUUUAAAUUAGAAAUUAAAAUUUUAAAUUUUAAUAUUAAAAAUUUUAAUUUUAAAUAUCAAAUUUUAAAUUUCAGACCAAAUUUAAAUUUCAAAGAUAUAAAAUAACAAAUUUAAAAUUUGAAAACUAAAAAUAUCAAAUUUAAAAUUUAAAAUUUAAAAAUAUCAAAUUUAAAAUUUAAACUUUAAUUAAAUUUAAAAUUUUAAUUUAUUAAUUAUAUUUAUAAAAUUAUAAAUUUUAAUAAAUUUAAAAUAAAAAUCUCUCUCUCUCUCUCUCUCUCUCUCUCUCUCUCUCUCUCUCUCUCUCUCUCAUUCCCCCCUUUAUACCCGAGCCAAACGGAGUGUUAAAAAGUUUCUAACUUUCUUAUUUAUCCCUCUUAGAAGGUUAAUAUUGAAAAUACCUUUUUUACGUUAUAUCUUAUUUCUAAUAUACCCCUAGAAUUAAAAUCUGUUAAUGAACUCUAUUAUCUCUAUGAAAUUACUAUUUUACCCUUUCAAAUAUACCCUUCUACCAUCACCGACUUUUCUUAUUUGCCUUUUAAGUUAGGGGUACAAAAUGUAUUUUGUUUUUUAGUCUUUUCAAAUAUACCCUUUUACCAUUAUCAAUAUUUCUUAUUUGCCCUUAAGUUAAGGACAAAAGUGGUAUUUUAAAUUUUUUUAAACUGUCGUACAUAUUUAACUCACGUUUAACCAAAGUUAACUUAACUGGUGGUAACUGCAGGGGUAUUUUGGAAUAACGGAGAAAUAUAUGAGGGAUAUAUUCGAAAGAAAAAAAAAAGGGGCAAAUAAGAUAUUUUUAAAGUUUUGAGGGUAUAUAGGCAAUUAUCCCUAUAAAUUAUAAUGUCUCUUCUUUUGCUUUUAUGUUUUGUGUUGAAACAAAGUGUAAAAUUUUUAAAAUGAUGAUACCUUGUACUCAAUUAUUUUUUAUAAACUUACUAAGGGGCCGUUUGGUUAGAUGUAAUUAUAAAUACAGUAUUGUUAGAGAUGCAUGCAGUUGGAAAUACAGCAGUUACAACUAUAUGAAUCCUGUUUGGUUGGAUGUAGUAGAAAUCACUACAAGUAUAAAUAAUUUAUUUGGUUGCAUGCAGUUGAAAAAUAAUUUUUAAAAUUUUAUAAUUUUAUAUAUAUGAUGGUGAGAUUACCUUCAAUGUAAAAAAAAAAAUAAUUUUUUUUAAAAAAAUAUUGAGGAGGUAAGCAUACCUUUUAUAUAAAGUUACUCUCUCCAACUGCUGCAGUUGGAACUGCGUCCAAUUUGGGCGUAGUUCGAACUGCUGCAUUUGGGCCUCAUCCUGCAGUUCCUACUGCAGCAGUUGAAGCUAAAUAUAUCAAACCAAAUAUGAAAUUUGCAUUUACAUGCAGUUGCAACUGCAGUGCAGUUGCAACUACAUGCAACCAAGCAGCCCCUAAGUUGUAAAUUUAAAUUCAUUACCAAUUGUUACUUACUCUUAGUUUAUAUUUCCUUCCUGCAUGUGGCAUCUUUUUUUUUAAUUCUAAAAAUAUUUAUAUGUUUUAUAAAUUGUUUAAAUUUUUAAUAGUGAGUAAAUUCUGCACUGGACAUAUCCUAGUAUCAUAAACUUAUUAAUGCUUAAGGUUUCGAAGUAACUAAUAUUUUCCAAAAUAUCGCAUGACAGGUAUAUCCCAAAUUAUACAAUGAUACAAAGCUUCAUUUCUUCGCAGCUUGGAAUGUAAGGAUAAAAUUACUCUCUCCUAAUCCUUUGCAAUACUCAAAAGUAUAAAUAUUUUAUAUUUUUUAACUGUAGGUAGGCAAUGAUGAGUCGAUCGGUUGCUAUAAUCUCCGUUGUAAAGGCUUUGUACUGGUCAAUGCGCAUGUACUUACACCGGGUGAUGUGGUUGGCCCUGUCUCUAUUUAUAAUGGUCCGCAAUACUAUAUGACAAUCAGUAUAAAGAAGGUUAUGCUUUUUUUUUCACUAAGAUUUUUACUAUUUGAUUUUAUAAAUAGAAAAAUAGUAAAACAUAUUAUUUAUGAAACAUUGAAAUGCACUUCAACCCUUGAGGCUUUAUAAAGGCUUUAGUUUGGCCACCUCCUUUUAAAGUAAACUCAAAUGCUUUUGUAGCUUUUGUGUUGCCAUUUAGAAUGAGUUAUAUAGUCGAAAGAACUUAUAAUAACAUAUAUAUGUGCACCUACAAUUUGAUAUGAUUUUAACUUCUUUUUGUCAUGAAUCUCUUGAAUUAAAACUUCAUCCAUAGAAGUAAAAAAUAGAUAAUAAAAGACCAAGUUUAUCAUAUCUUAAUUUCUCUCACAUUCAUAGUAAUUUUCGAAAAGUACCUUACAAGCCAUUUGUAACAGCUAAAUUAACUAGAAUUUUACAAAAUAUUUACGUCACAAUAAUUUUGGAUGAAAAAGUACUAUGCCCUGUAAAAAGUACUAUCGUUUUAGAUCUCAAAAAUAUAUUUUUGUUGCAUAAUUUCACACAUAUUAUUUUGGUUGUUUUAAAUCUUUUUCUUAUUGGGUUGACUAUAUUUUACUGGUAAUGAUAGGAUAAUGUCCUUUUCUCAUCUUACUAUUUGUACAUGGUUUCAUGAUAGGAUUUUCAAACAGGAGACUGGUCUCUUUAUAGAGAAGAUUUAGGAAAUGCUCAAAUAAUAGGUUAUUGGCCGAAAUCUCUUUUUACAAAUUUAGAUAAGAGUGCAAGUAUUAUUGCAUGGGGUGGACAUGUUACCUACAAAAAGAAGGAAAGAGGCCCUCCAAUGGGAAGCGGGCAUUAUGCUAAUGAAUUGGAAGGAAAAGCAGCAUUUAUGAAAAAUCUUGAGAUUUUCGAUGAAAAAGGUGAAUCCCAUCAGCUUACAGAUGAUGGACAAUUUGCUAGAAUUGAUAAGGGAAAAUGUUACACAGUUACAGAAUUAGUUGAUUCAGGAAAGUACGGACUAAAAGAUGGGGUUUUAUUUUAUUUUGGUGGUCCUGGUGGUUGUUAUUAAGUGAUAACAUAAGUUUAUAUAUUCUUUCAAUAAGGUACUAAUAUAUUAAACUUAUGACUUGUCAGCAAGUAUAUAAUAAGUUUUUUCAUUUAUUUACAAUAUGAGAGGACCUGUACUUUAUUAUCUUUUCUUUCUAAAUCUUUGACCUCAAGAAUGAUAAUGUAACGAUCCGACUCGCUAGCAAUAAUAAUUCAUUGGGCCAAAAUCACCCACCCAAAAUGCUUCGGUCCAGUUCUUACUACUAGGGUGGAGUUCUCUUAUAUGCGCAAUGACAUACGUAUUGGGGUGUCACAAACUUCCCCGUACACACGACCCAAGAUCACUAAGCGAUGUGAGACUUUUCACGAGGCUAGCUUUUUCGCCUUGUGGCGCUCAAGUGUUGCAUACCUGAGCUAGCCUUCCCGAGUCCUUAGCAUGGACAGGUCUCCAAACUUAAUAGCAGAAUACCAAUUCAAGUAUUUUGCCAAGCUUGCUCCUCUGCGAGCCGUACAGCCGAAUCCCUCGUCGGACUCCAUAAGUUCCCAACAAGCAACCCCAAUACCGAGGUUAACCACCAAGCUAGGUGCAUCCCGUUUCGCCAAACAAACUCUCCUCUAGAGUGCUCCACAGCCGAAUGCCUCGUUGCCUUCACUUGUAUAGCCACAAGGAUAUUACAAGUUCUCCCCUAACUUAGACCAAUACGAGUAUAGCCGAGCGUCCUGCUCCCCACGUGUUUCGCUCCUACGACUUGACCCGCACAACGUUAGCGUCAAGGUCCAGACUUUGCAACAUCGCAUGCCACGAAGUGUCACAAGCCGAUCGCUGGGACUUAGCGGCCACAUUUGUUAGGGAAUUGCCUUCGUUGACUUGACGGUGACUCCUCGUUAGCCUUUGUCAUUCCGACCUAACUUAGCCUGUCAAAUCAUGUGAAAUUUUGAUAAAAUUUUUUUUAUACUAUAUUAAACAAGAUCAAUAUUUUUGAUCUAAAAUUUUAAUGUCAUAUCAUCACAUUUUGUAAGACUUUUAUUUUCAGCCGUUGAUUUUAGAUAUGACAUUAAAAUUUUAGAUACUUCAAAUACUCUAGAUCCAGUCUAAUAGAGCCAAUCGUCAAUUCGAAAGUCCUAUCAUCGAAAACAACUUGGAAGCAUGGAGGGUUUCGUGCUUCCAGAAGCAUACCACCCUCAUUCUAUAACUAAAUAUCUUAUUUUAGAAAACUAAUGUAUUGGACUUCCGGGUCGAGCUCGGGCCAGGCUUAGACAUGUCCAGAUAGGCUCAAAAUUUUUCGGGCUGAAAUUUUUAAAUCCGACCGGGAUCCAAAACUAUAAUUGUGGUACCUAAAGCCUGGCCCAUACAUAGCCCAUCAAGCAGGGCCUUGUUUAGGCUCGGGCAGUUCCACCUCUAAUUAUAUUACAUAAUUUUUUUUUAUAAAUAUUCAUUUUUUUGUUUUCUCUCUCUAACUUUUAAAAAUUUAUAAUUUAGCCCAGUGUUUUAUUAUUAUACCGAAAAUAUCCUUCAAAAUAAUAUAAAUAUAUUAAAAAAUAAUUUUUUAUAGAAGAAGUAAAGGUAAACUGGUUAUUUUGCCUCCUUCAUUAACAUCGUACCCUCUUAAAAAUAUUUUUUAAAUUUUAAAAAAAUAAAAUAUAAAAUUUUGAAACUUUAAAAGAAAAAGUAAAAAAAAAAAUAUUUACGAAAAUUUUUUUAUAAUUUGCAUAAAUUAUAAUAUAUAAAAUUUAAGGAUCAAAAUAUCUAUCUUUCCACAAUAAUUCUCACUAUUAUCACACUGGGGGGGUGGGGGAGAAGCAGUAGUGCGAAUAGAGAGAGAGAGAGAGAGAGAGAGAGAGGGAGAGGGUAGAGGGAGAUGGUGGCGAUGGGGGGGAAGGGUUUGGGGCGGCUCCUAGCGGCGCUUGCGGCGGCGCUCUUCCUCCGCGCCGUCGCCGGCCCCGGCCCCGCGCUUCCCCUGCCGGAGUACGCCGACGAGGACGCGGCGGAGCGCGGCGGCGCCGUCGCCGGAGACGACGAGGGGGAGGAGGGGGAGGAUGCGGUCGCCGGAGGAGGAGGGGCGGUGGCGCCGGUGACCAUCCGCUGGAGCGGCGUCACCUGCGCCCUCUCCGACAAGCGCGGGAAAACGGUGAGCUCGAUUGCGCACACUCAUGAUUUGAUGAGGCGAUGAUGAGAGGGAUUUAAUAAUUCUAAUCUACGAAACCCUAACAUUUUUUCUUUAAUUCAAUUCCCAUUACGGGGAGAUGCUUGUGCGCACGUUAGCAUUUGUAGGGUGGAUUUGCUAAAUUGUUCCGCUCUGUUUCCUGUUUAAUUAAUAAUAAAUGUUCCGGUAAAAAUGUAUGGUGACCCCCUCAACUAUAGGUGUUUCUGAAAUAGGCCCCUUAACUUCCUUUUCUUUUUUGGGGGGGUAAAAUUGAGUUUUUUUUAAUAGUUAAUUAACCUAAAAAACAUGUCAAAUUUCAUGCCUCAAUUAGUUAUCAGCAGUUAAUUUGUCUAGUUUUAUUUGCUAUAAAGUAAUUCAAACUAUUAAAUUUGAUGAAAUUAUCGAUUAAAUUUGGUAAAACUGCUAAUUUAUUUGGUUAAAUCACUUAAUUCUGAAAAAUUAAAAGUUUGAGGGGGCAUCAAUAAAAUAUAUAUAUAUAGUUGAGAUGGCUAUUUCAGAGUGAACUAUAGUGAAGGGGGUCUCCAUACAUUUUUACCUAGAUUUUUCCUGCUUAAAUGUGGAACCUGUAAUUAUGUCAUGUAAUUAGUUAAAUUACUAGUAGUGUAUCAUACAUGACCCAUAGAAUAAGUACUUCACCAUUUAGUUUCUGGUUGUUUUCAGUUCCUUUUCUUAGUUAUUAUUAUUAUUAUUUACUGUUAUCAAUAGUUGGUAUGACACUAAUGCAAAAUGCUUAGUAAUAGAAAAUUUUAGGAUGUUAUAGUAAAUUUUACUUAUAUCUUUGAUGCAUGUAGUCCCUGCAUUGAUUUCAUUUAAAAAAAUAUCAACUUUAAUGCCUUGAAUAUCUUAUAUAAUACUCUAGAUAUCUUUUCAAUUUAUUCUGUGUUGUUAGAUGAGAUUUUUGCUGUCGAAUGUAAGUGGAGAGGCGAAACCAGGAAGAUUACUAGCAAUCAUGGGCCCUUCGGGGUCGGGGAAGACAACUUUGCUUAAUGUGCUAGCUGGACAGCUUGCGGCAUCACCUCGCUUGCAUCUUUCCGGGUAUUUGGAAGUUAAUGGGAGGCCGAUGUCGCGAGGUGGUUACAAGUAAGCUCUGCUCAUGUGUUUGUCAGGUGUCAAUGUGUGACCAAAACUUUGCCUUCCCUAUUGCCUUAAAUAUGGCGCAUUUGGUUUGGGGAUAAAUUGUACCGAGAUAUUUUGCUAUCAGUUGAUUAUCCUGCUAUCCCAAGAUAGUUCAGAAGAAGGUGAAUUUUGUUUGUAGAUUUACCUUGUAGGAAUAACUUUAACGACUUCUGCGAUAGCUAUGAUGACUAUGGAGAUAGCAUCAGAUUAAGGGAUGGAUAUACGAUGUAAGGUGUUGAUUGGAGGCUUACUUUCCUGAUUAUCAUGCAGUUUAUUGUGUUUGGCUGAAUAAGGCGGAAAAUGUGCCCCUCGUUGUCCCCAACCAAAUAGAGCAUCAGAUAUGAGAAUCUAGGAAACUAAAUAUGUUGGUUUGCUUUUGUAGGAUUGCUUAUGUGAGGCAAGAGGACCUUUUUUUCUCGCAGUUGACUGUGCGAGAAACACUUUCACUUGCUGUUGAACUCCAGCUUCCUGAUUCAUUGCCACCUGAGAAGAGGGAGAAGUACGUCGGCGAGCUUCUGUUCAGGCUGGGCUUGGUGAGUGUUACAUCUUAAUUGGAAGUCUAACAUACAAGACUCCUGACAAGGGAUUACAUAUUAUGACUAUCUGCUUGUAUUUAAAUGUUGGAUAAUGUGAAUUUAAGUAAGAGGGAGUGUGUUGCUUUACUCUGUUUUAGGUAAGUUUCCUUUUAACAGUUUGUCUUCUCUUUUUCCUUGUUUUCUUGGAAUUUUCAUAUUAAAGACGUACUUAAUUCUUUCGUCAAACAAAAAAACAAAGAUGUAACUUCUUGCCUUUCUUUUUCCUUAUUGUGAUCAUUGUUGCCAAUUUAAAGGUCAGUUGUGCUGAUUCUAUUGUGGGCGAUGCAAAAGUUCGAGGCAUUAGUGGCGGUGAAAAGAAGCGCCUAUCACUUGCUUGUGAAUUGAUUGCUAGUCCAUCUGUCAUCUUUGCUGACGAACCAACUACCGGUAUGCAAUCCAUUAUCAUGACCAGCUUCCUCUUUGGGACGGCCUGAUUAUUUCCUUCCGAAUUAUAUAGAAUUUUCACUGCGUGAAUAACUAAUAUACAUUAGUGUUGAAAUUUUAACUAUUGCUGAUAAUCUGAUGUAACAAAGAUCUGCUUAAACCGACAUUUGACUAUGUAUUCCAUAAUUGUAAUGCAUUAUGUUGAUUACCUAUCCUAAUUUAUUGCUGUACUUUUAUUUGUUAGCUGUUGCGAAGAUGUUAUUGAUGAUCGCAUAAGGGAAAGGGCAAAAGAUAGAAAAUCUAACGGAACCUAAUUCCAAGGGCAGAAAACGGAAACUACUAAUGGAGUCUAAUUAUAUAUAAGCUUUCUUGUAAUCUCUCGACUUGAAACAAGUUGGCCUCACAUAUUGGUGCUGCUAAAAUUUUUCGUGGAAUGUUAGUUGGUUUUUUUCUCCGAAAUUAAGAAGUUUUCUUCACUUUACUCAACCUUUAACUUUGUAAGGUAGUUGCAUGAAAUCUUCUGUGGGAAAAGAAACUUUCUGAAGGAUCAAUUGUGACAUGGAAAUAUAAGCCUUGGAAAAAGCAAGUUUGCUAAUUAAUAUUGUUGUUGCCUAUGAAUAUUUCCUUAAGAGAAGGAUCUCUAGUUACAUGGAGGUAACAUAGAACUUUUCCUGUGUGUUGUUGGGCCUUUAAUAGGAAUGCAAGAUAAUAGAGCCUACUGGAUAUGGAAACAAAACAUGAUGUUAAAUUGAAAGGGCUUGCAUCAUGUACUGUUUUAUCCAUGGAUACCCUCAAACAUGAAACAAACGGAGCCAGGAUGAGAAUGCUCAGAAUAGAUGGGUCAAAGAUGUCACUACAGAACAAAGAAGCAAUUUUGUAUUUAUGGCAAGUGGAACUGAACUAAUCAAGAAGCCAAAAAUGAGAAAGUUUUUUAACAUUUUCCAUUCCAGAUCAAAUAUAUCGUCCUUUUAACAAGAGUGACUGACUCUGUUUAAGGUUCUAGCUAGGACAGGAAACUGGAAAAGACAUGGAUAAGAACAAUGCCGAAGAUAAUGAUCUUUCUCUAUUGGUAGACACGUGAUCCUAAAUAAAGUUAAAUGAUGAAAGAGCAUUCUGUUAAUUCCAUUAAAAGUGGUUAUAGUUUGGAUAUAGUUGUUGCUCUUUUCCUUUAUGUGUGCUGCUGAUCAUUGAACUUCAUAGUCGAGAUGUUCAACUUUUUUCUUUUGAGCAGCUCUCAUUCUUGUGUCUCGCAGUUUCUUCAGUAUGUUCCAGUAGACAUUUGUAUCAGUUCGUCUCGUUCAGUUCAUGAGUUAGCUAUUUAUGCUGUAGGUCUGGAUGCCUUUCAGGCAGAGAAAGUGAUGGAAACUCUUAGACAGCUUGCGGAAGAUGGACAUACUGUGAUCUGCUCUAUACACCAGCCAAGAGGUUCAGUCUACAGCAAAUUUGAUGACAUUGUAUUAUUAUCCGAGGGAUCAGUUGUAUACAUGGGUCCUGCAAAAGAAGAACCUCUGACCUACUUUGCUACAUUUGGGUUGUGACUCAACCACCGUACAUUGGAACACCCUGUUUGCAAUAUAAAUAGUUGUUUCUUCACAUAUUUCUGAUUCCUUGUUUUUCUUAACGGUAUUCUCUAUCUUAUAUUGUCUUAGUGCAGUUGUCGUUGUCAUUCAGUUUUGUCUUCAUUAGCCCAACAAAUAACAAAGAGACCUGGAAAGUUAUGUAUUUACAUAACAACCCUGCAACAUCCGACUUUCCGUACAUGCCCUUCAAAACCUUAAUUUGUUACAUAUAUGCCAUUGUAAUUAAGAGUGGCACUCUUCGAAAUUUUUUUUCCCUAUUGCAAAGCCCUCUUUCCCUCAUGAUGAAAAACUGCACUUUCGUGGGUUAUACAUUAAAAAUUCCAGAUAGUAUAGUUUCUCUAGUAUCAUAAUUCAUGUUUUAUGUACACAUCCUAGUUCCACGUAGGCAGAAAUUAAUGUUUUCAUAUUUGUAUCAUAUAAGUUUAUACAUGUAUGAUUUUAUUUAUCAAAUAGUUGCAUAUGUACCUAAUUCUCAUCUGUAUAGACAUAUUUGUGUUUUAGUGCUUAACAAAAGUCAAUUUAGACUUUGAAUUUGGUUGGUGAUGCCAAUUUUGUCAGGUUUCAAUGCCCGGACCAUGUGAACCCAGCUGAGUUUCUUGCUGAUCUCAUUUCAAUCGAUUAUAGUUCUGCUGAAAGUGUACAUUCUUCUCAGAAAAGAAUCGAUGAUCUUGUUGAAGCAUUUGCUAACAGGAUUCCAAUUACUGAGUGUAUCAGUCCAAUUACAAUUUUGGGGACCUCCAAAUUUCCAGCAAAAGUUGGCAGGAAAACUCUAGUUAAGAAGAGAAGUGGUUGGUGGAGGCAAUUCUGGUUGCUUCUUAAACGAGCUUGGAUGCAGGUUUGUUUGAAAUAUUUCCUUUAGCACACCCAAGUGCCAUUCAUGUACUGUCUUUUAACUGUAUACCUAAAAAAAGUGGUUAUUUGCAAAAUGCACUUCUUAAAGAGCCCAAAGAACCUCUUUUUGUUAAGAAAAAUAAUUCAUCUUUAUUCAUAUGUCUAGCCUAGACUUGGGUGUGAUUCCACAAUAUUAUUCUAGAUCUUAAUAAACGUGAUUUUUGACUUCUUAUGCAGUGAGUUAUCUUCAUAUUUGAGGCAUUGGUAAGCCAAAAGCCCCAAUAAAUACGCUAUGAAAUUCCGAUGACUAAAUAUAUACAACUUAGUACUAUAUAUGUUGGAAAUCCUCAUGCUGUUUUCUUUUGUUGGCAAAUAAAUCAGAAAACUCCUUAUAUUUGGCCCUUUGUAGUGUUAACAUGGAUGAGAUGCCCCUUCGACAGAUGAGGCAAUUUGUAUUUGUCAAAACUGGAAUAACUGCAGAAAACAGCUUGUUGUUUAUUCUCUUCUUUAUUGUGUCAAAGUUGGCAACUGGCUGAUAGUUAAUUAUAAUGAGCACAUCUGGAAAAAUGUCAACUAAAAAGCAGAUAUAAGAUAAAGUUUUCCGGUCAUGCAAUCAUAAAUGCUUACGAACAUCACACAACUUGUGUUAAUUGUAUUCACAGAAGCUAUUCAGAAAUCUGCAAUAUUUCCUGCUAAUUGGCAUCUGGCAACUCAAAUUUGCUUAUACGGUCUUCUAAUUCACUUCUAAGUUCUAAAAGCAGUAAGGGGUGCUUCAUUGCCAGGCUUGGCGUGAUGGACCAACAAACAAAGUGAGGUCGAGAAUGUCCAUCGCUUCAGCAAUCAUAUUCGGAUCAGUCUUCUGGCGGAUGGGGAGAAGUCAGACAUCCAUACAGGACAGGAUGGGACUUCUUCAGGUACUCCUUUUCUUGCAUUUUGUCGUAGUCAAUAUGUAUACUUGAAAUCCUUAAGAGUGAAGUUUUGAGGGAAAACAUGCGAUUGAAAAAGACCUCCUAGGGAUAAGAGAAAUAUGCCCUUCCUUUUGUACAUAGUCCUUCGUACACUUGGUGCCAUUAUCGAUUUGUUACAUAGAUCAGAUGCAAGUUCCUAAAUACAUCGAGAACAUCCUUCAACUUUUCCUCUCUCUCUCUCUCUCUCUCUCUCUCUCUCUCUCUCUCUCUCACAGAGAGGAUGCAUUUGCCAACUUUAUUUUUCUUACACACGGUCUCUGAUGGUGCAUGCCUCCACUAUAAUCUCCUUAUACCCUACCAGAGUAGUGUCAGCAUAAAGUUCAAGAAAAAGGCUUAGGGGCUUUUUGGUUUCUCUGAAAAGUAUGAAAAAAUGUUUUCUCAGAAAAAUCCGGAAAACGUAGACAUUAGUUUUCUAUGAAAUCUGGAAAGAAGUUUACCAAAAAAACUAGUUUUUCUUGGAACUAAACGGGCAGAAAAUUGGAAAAGGGAUUUUCCAUGAAAACUUUUUCUCAGAAAACUUCUUUUCAUAUUUUUCCGAGGAACCAAACAGCCCGUUAGCAGGGGAGCAGGUUUGUAUGUAGCUUGCUGCUGUGUAACACCACCAUGUGCUUCUUCUCCCAAAUAAGUAAUAACAUCAGGUUCUCUUGGAGUUAUGUCUUAUAAUGCACUCUUUAUUUUUUUUUUCACCUAUUUUUAUAGCUGCUGAUUUUUCUCAGUUGCACUCAAAAAGGAAAUUUUGUUUAAUAUAAUAUUUUUUCUUUGUGCUGGCAAAGGUGGCUGCAAUUAACACAGCAAUGGCGGCUCUUACCAAGACUGUUGGAGUUUUCCCAAAGGAACGUGCAAUAGUAGAUAGGGAACGUGCUAAGGGUUCCUAUUCCUUGGGCCCAUAUCUUUUGUCUAAAUUGCUUGCUGAAAUCCCUAUAGGAGCAGCAUUUCCAUUAAUGUUUGGUACAAUUUUAUACCCAAUGGCUCGUCUUCAUCCUACUAUAUCCAGGUCAGUUUUAUUUCAUACUUACACUGGUUAAUUUAUUCAUACCUCUUUUCUCAUAUUCUUUUUUCCCCACCUCUUUAUUUUCGUGUUCAUUCCAGACCCUUUUAUGUAAUAUUUUCUAAUCUCAACCUACACACCCUGAUGUUUGCUUGACGAUUUCCGUUUCUAUAUGCUAUACAUUUUGCGUUCGAUCAGCAUAACAAAACACCUUAAUUUAGUUCAUGCUCUCUAUGGGGUCCACGGUUUGUGGCUUUCACCAUGAAAAAUUCUAUAUUUAUAGAAUCUGAUAUAUGCUUCUUCUCGUUUUUUUUGGUAAUUUGUCCAUUUUUUAAUUUGAAAUGAAAUUUAUGAAAUUUUAGAUUCGCUAAGUUCUGUGGCAUAGUGACUGUCGAAUCCUUCGCCGCAUCUGCCAUGGGUCUUACCGUUGGGGCGAUGGUCCCUACAACUGAGGCAGCAAUGGCUGUUGGGCCAUCACUUAUGACUGUAUUCAUUGUCUUUGGAGGCUAUUAUGUCAAUGCCGAGAAUACCCCCAUCGUCUUCCGAUGGAUCCCUCGAGUCUCUCUCAUCAGAUGGUAUUUUACUUAGAAUCUCCCUACAUGAAUGUUUUUUAGUACAGUUUUUCUCAAAUCUGGCUAAUGAAUUUCAAAUCUUUCUUCAUUACUUACAGGGCUUUCCAAGGGCUUUGCAUUAAUGAAUUCAGUGGUCUCGAAUUUGAGCAUCAGAAUAGUUUUGAUGUACAGACUGGAGAACAGGUACCAAAGUGUAUAAAUAUUUUUUGGGUUACAGCAUGAAUUGAAACUGCUUCAAAAGGCGCUGCUGCAUAUUACGUAAAACAGUGAUAGUACGUAAUGAUACUAUGCCAUUGAUAAUUGCUCGCUACUGAAAUAUAUCUGGAGUUUUGGGGUUUCUAUAACAGUGAAGUAUAAUAGAAACAAACAAGGUCACUAGCAAUCGAAAGUGAAGCAUUAAUAGCUUCCAACUACAGCAGAAGCAGAAACUUCAAAAUAUCAAAUUGAAGCUUAUACUUUGGGACUAUGAAGCUUAUUUUAGCUUCUUGCUAAAGAGAAAACAAACAUUUUCUUCAUCAAACCUCUUGCUCUUGCUUCGUAGAGUAGAGAGUAGUUAUUUUGGAAGCUAUAGCUGAAGCAGGCACCAAAUCACCAUAGUUUAAUAGGAAAAUUCCAUCUAAAUAAGCUGAAAAAAAGGCAUUACUGAUUUGCUUUCCGAGUUUUCACAUCAUCUUGUUCUAAUUUUAUUUUUGAGAAAUGUUAUUUGAUGGUCCAAGCGGUCGUUCUUUCGUUAUCCUUUAGGUUUUGGAGAGGCUUUCCUUCGGAGGAAGCCGCAUCGGGGAUACGAUGAUCGCGCAGGGAAGGAUUUUGAUGUUCUGGUACUGGACAACUUACCUACUGCUGAAGAAAAACAAGCCAAAAUACCAACAGCUUCUGCCCCCCACUACAGUGAAGCACCAAGUUGAGCAACUUCAACCUGCCAAGGAGAGAUCUAUAUGAUCUUUUCUCCGGUAGCAUAUGUAAUCGCGGCAUUUUGAAUUAGGUUUAGUUUCUGUUUAUGUGGAGAGGGUGAAUGUUGAUGGCCUCUUUGUUCUGAUAUAAUAAUGUUUUUAAACAUGUAUGUUUUUUCAGUACCCUAGUUCGGCAAAUGAUUGUAUCACGCUUGCUGCAGAGUGGAGUUUAAUUUCAGUGGUACUUUGAAUGUAAUUAUUAAUGCAAUAUAGUUGAAAAUGUAUGCAGUUAAAAAUACAAUAGUUACAACUAUGAAUAAAACGUUUUACGCGUUUGUUUGUAGAAGUGCGUAAGUUCAAGGGUUUCAGUACAAUUUUUCCACAAACAGAAUCUUCUGUAUUGGGGUUAAUCUCACAACUUCAUGUGUUAAGAAUGAAACCAAAUAAAUUAUUCAUAACCCACUAUAGAGCCCGCGAUUCGCGGCGGGUCAAUAAUUUUUCAGUCAAUCAAUAUAAAUAAUUCUUAAAUUUUAAAAAUUAAAAAAAUAUUAUAACCAAAAAGAAUCAAAGAAAAAAACUCAUAUAGUCUAUUACACAUUAUAAAAACUAAACUUUUUUUUAUUAAUAUUUUUUGACUUUCGGUAUUUAUCGAGUUAGAGUAUUUUAAUAACUUCACUAAAAAUUCAAUCAAAUUUAAUAAUUUUAAUAGCUAUUCUAUAAUUAAAUUUUUUAAUUACAAAUUUAAAAUUGGAGGACUUAUUCUAAAUUGCCAAAUAUAUGAGAUUGUCUUUAUCUUAUUAUAAUUGACCGGAGAAAGAAAAGAUUAUUAUAUGCAUCUACUAUUUAUAUGCAUCUACUAUAUAUUAACACACCAUACAACUUAUAUUAGAGGACUAAUUUUUAAUAUCAAAUUUUAAUUAAAUAUAUCUGAUCUAUAAAGUUUAAUAAUUUAAAUAUAUUUACUGAAUUGAAUUUUAAAAUUUCUAUUAGAUAUUUUAAGUAUGUAUUGUAUGUAAUUAUAUACACCCAGUGUAGAGAAUGCUUAAUAAAGUGAACUCAUAAUUCCAAGAAAAUGAGAGGAUAAAUUUUUACUCUCAUUUGGUGUAUACUAAUAUUUUAUACACUGCAAAAUUAUAUUGGAUGAUUGAUAAAAUAUCUGAUAAUUAGUAUUAAAAAAUAAAAUAUGAAUAUAGUGUAUGUAAUAUAAAAUAUUUAAAUAAUUUAUUACUAUAAAAAAUUUUCUUUGAUGCAUAUGUAAUAGUCGGUUUAAAGUGCAAUUAGUGCGUCCAAAAUUCCUUGAUAUGUGGCAAGCUCUCAUUAGUUGUUGCCUUGAAUUUUUGAGAAGCUCUUCUUCACAAUUCCCAAAAAGAGGAGAAAAUUUUUUUUACACCUGAUAUAUAUAUUAAUAUUUCAUACACGGUGAAGCAUAUUAGAUGAUUGAAAAAAUACCUUAUAAUUAGUAUUGUAAAAUAAAGUAUAAUAUAUAUAAAAUAUUUAAAUAAUUUAUUGUACUGUAAAAUUUUAAUUUUGAUACAUAUUUAAAAUUAGUUUACGGCGCACUGGGUGCGUCCAAAAUUUCUAUUAGACUUGUGGCAGCUUUUUAUUGGCUGUUGCUUAAACAGGAGAAGUGGCUCUUUAGAAAGCUAUUGUUGUAAUGUAAUGGAAGUGUCAAUUUAUAUAUGUUAUAAAUAGAUUAUAUCAUUUUUAUUGCAUAAAACCAAAUAAGAUAUUUUUUAAAUAAUUAUUAUAUUUUUAACUGUACGCAAUUUUAAUUACAUUGUAUUUAUAAUGGCAUCCAAUCUAACGGCAUCUAGAAAGAGCAAAAGUAUUCUUUGUAACAGGUAUAACACAUAAGAUAUAUUUCAAACCAAUCAUAUUAUAUUAUAAGUGGAUAAAGAAGGAUCUAAUCAAAAAAAAAAAGAAAAAAGAAGUUGUUUAUUUCAAGAGUCACAGAAUAUACGGAAAAACUAAUUUUAUUGUGCCAUAUAGAAUGCGUAAAGAGUUAAUCAAGAAUAAAAUGAUAAUUUUAUUGUACAAAAUUUUUUAAAACUUUUAGCAUUAAAAAAAUUACACUUCGGUCCUCAAACUAUGGCUUGAACUUUCUGAAUUAUUGCAAUCAAGCCCCACAAUCUAAUUUUUUGAUUAAAUAUUGAUGAAUUAUUAUGUAAAAGUGAUAUAGCAAUAUCGUAAUUGAUGAUGCAACAAUAAAUAAGAUACUACAUCACUUCUAUCUUAGUAAUUCAUCAAUAUUUAAUAAAAAAAAUAGAUUGUAGGACUUAAUUAUAAUAAUUUGGAAAGCUCGAGAAAUUACAAUAACUUUGGUAUCGUUUAGUUCAGGAAUAAGCAAAAAGUGACUAUUUUAUGGAUAAAUAUAAAUUAAGGUAUAAGAGGGGAUUAGAUCAAUUUUGCAUUUGGAUGAAAAUUGGGUUAUUACUAAGAAUAAAAAAAUAGCGUUUAAUUAGGUAAGAUGGAAUAAGAAUUAAAGUGGGUAGUUAUAAAUAAAAAAUAAUCAUAUUAUCCCUUUCUUUAUAUUAGAAUUUAAAUUUUUAUAUUUUAUAUUUAUAUUUUAGAAUUUAAAAUAUAAAAUUUUACAAUUUAGAAUCUCAAAUUUACAAUUUUAUAAAUUUUAAACUUUAAAUUUAAGAUGAAAUUUAUUAUUAAUAAAUUUAUAAUUUUUUUUAAAAUUCUACUUAAACUGAAAUAUAAUAAAAAUAAUUUAUUAUAAUAUUUAAAUAUAAUUUACUAUAAAAUUUAUUAUAAUAUGUAAAUAUAAAUAAUAUGUAUUAAUAUAGUACAAUUAAUAAUUUUAUAAAAAAAUAAUGUAUUAUAAUAUAUAACAUAUUAUAUUUAUAUAAUUUAGUUUUAAUUCAAUUUAUAAUUUUAAUUAAGUUCGAAAUUAAGCAUUGUAAUAGCACUAUUCCACCAAAAUGAUGGAAUAGUAAAUCUCAAACUAUUCAGGGAUAACCGGGAAUAGCAAGGUUUGACCGGGAUAAAAUAUCCCGCCAAAAAAUCACCCCUUUUGGCGGAAUAGCAGGGAUAACUUUCGUUAUCCCCGCUUAUCCCCCGAAUCAAACAGGGCCUAAGAGUAUGAACUGGACUACAAACUGAGACAACUGGACCUCUAAGGAAAAAAAAAGAGAGAGAAAAAAAGAAAACUACUAGCAAAAGAGAUCCAGAAAAAUUUGAGGUUAAAAGAAAAAUAAUACAAACCAGUAGCCAGGUGGGGAAAACAAAAAAAUUAGAUAUGUUAUGAUUAUUCUAAUAUAUUAAUAUGAAGAUAUUCAUCAUCUCUGAAAAGAAUAAGAUUAAUAUUUUAGGAUGAAUAUCAUUUUCAAAUAAAUCUAACAUUAUCAACUAAAUUAUUUAGUAUAUUUAGUCAAACAUCGUCAUAAUUUUUUCUUUUAUUAAAUUUUUUAAAAUUUUAGAAAGAUAACGUGAACCCAAUACACCCUUAGGGGAUUGAAUUUUAGAUAUCCAGGUGCUUACCACUUUGUCCGUAGAGAAUCACCUAAACAUUACAGAUGAACGGUGCUUUGCUGAAAACGAAUUAAAUUGGAUUAGAAUUGGAAUUGGAGUCGAUCUGAUCGCUCAUUGUGAGUGUUUCCUGGCCUAUCGUCGUCACUCCGAGACCACCUCUCAAGCUGGAUUAGCACCGAGAGUGACAGAUCACCAAGUUCUCCGGGAUGUUGGAGAGGUGGUUCACAGAGAUAAGGCAACGGUAAUCGGAGAGGUCAGCCAUACGAGCGUUGAAGUCAUCCGGCCUAAUAAAGCGACUAAAGCCGCCGACAAGGGCCACCACUGUUUGGGAAGACCAGCACUCUUAGGGGAGGCUGACCAAACGGAUCCAAACCUUGUAAGUCAUGGGUGGCCGUCGUGCGUCGUUGUAGGGAUUCCAAAGAAAGCAGCGUAAACGGAGAUCUCCCAAGCUAAGGAUGUCCUUGCAGAGGAGUUGGUUGCUCAGCACCCAUUCCGGUAGGAAAACAACAAAGUCUCUUUCGCUAUACUGGGCAACAUGAAAGUUGGAUGGGUAGCCCCUGAAACGAUUCGCGAGUCCAUUAGCAACGGUUUCCUAAGGGAAAUGACCCAGUUGGCGGGGGGGAUCACGUUGACAAGGAUAGCAUUGCGGCGACGAUUUUGUCGGGCGAAGAAGUCGUCGGAAAGGGGGGGGACAGAAGAGCUAAGGUAGGCAGAGCAGGCGCGCAUGGCUCGAUAGACUUUCAAUGGCAGGCGAUUCAUAUUGGAUCGUGCUUUGUGGCCCGACUUGAAACACCUAGUGCAGCGGAUGGGAUCUUGAUAGUGGGUGGCCCAGUGUGCUCAGCCCAAGCACCUAUAGCACCUGCCUUUGAAGGAGAAUUUGCCAAAGCUCAAGGGAGGGUAAGGAGGGGACCGCUGUGGGAGAGGUGAGGCUAAGGUUUAGGGGGUGGAGCGGGAGUGAGGAGUGCGUCCCUGUAUGUCUUCUUAAAAAGAGGGGAAGGAAGGCGCUUCUUGGAGUGUUGCCUGGUAGACCGAAGCUUGUCGUCCGAAGUAAAUGACCCCGAGUUUAGAAGGGAAUUGUCUUUUCGAAAGUAAGUAGUUUGAGUUUAUGCAAACCCGGCUGUAUCCGCCCAUAGCACCUUCUUGGCGGAGGAGCUAGCUUCGUAAGCUGGUUUUUAGAGGUUGGUGGAUGCAGUAACUCCAUUGCUCGAAUUCUGUUUGAGGCUCUGAAACCUUAGCUCUAGGUCUAAAGCUAACGAGACUUGCCGAUGUCGACUGCCGCACUGCCGGCACAGACAGAAGGAGACGCUUGACGGGUGGUGGCUUCUCUGACACCAAUGCCUCCUGGAACUCCUCUGAAAUCCGAGAUAAAAGACGGGACGCUCACCCCUCUGGUUGCCUGGUACACCGAGAUCUUUCUGCCUCUUCUCCGCUCCGGCAGGCCUCUUCUGAUGGCGGCACAUCUCUUCCGCCGCGUUAGGCAGAAAGGCGGCGGGAAUUUACGGUCUCUUCUGUUGGAAUCUCCCCGGCUGACAGUGGCGCAGUUGGACGACCGAAAAAUUUUUCAAAUUCAAAUCUCUCCCUUGCUGGACUUCCUACUUCUAUGCUAUCUGACGUGAAGGACGGAAGAAAUACCUCUAUGUCAGGCGGCUUCACCCUUCAUGUUCUCCCCCCGAAGGCCUUCCGCCCUUCUUUUGUCAUCAAGACCCUCUUUCUUGAGUCUGGAAGCUCUCAGGACAACCUUUGGUUUUCGCACCUAGCUGUGGUCGACAAAAAGGGAUUUCGUGGCUUUUUCAACGAAGUAGAGAAUCGCUGGUGCAUUUAUUUCGAAAUCCGCCCAGCUUCCUCGAUCUUCACGAAUACUGAAUCCGGGCUUGAUGCGACUGGGCCUAGGUUCGCACCUCCUUUCCCUGAUCAACGGUGGGCCCUCUCUCACUUUGUCACCGAUCCGGGUUUUUUUGGAUUCAGGCCUGACCUCGCCUCCCCUUAUUUUGGUAGUGGACUGCACCUCUGUGGCAGUCAGGGUAAUAAGCCUUCUAAUAGUUUGGAUUCUACUUCUUUUGGACUGGAAUCAGGAGGUGGUAAGGGGGUGGACUGCACCUCUGUGGCAGUCAUGGUAAUAAGCCUUCUGAUAGUUGGACUCGACUUCUUUUGGACUGGAAUCAGGCGGGCCACCUCCUUUCUCUGAUUAGCGGUGGGCCUUUUCUCACAUUGUCACCUGUCCGGGCUUUUUUGGAUUCGGGCCAGACCCCGCCCCCCUUGUUUCAGCGGUGGACUGCACCUGCAUGGCAGUCCUGGCAAUAGGCCCUCCGUAGUUUGGACUCGGCUUCUUUUGGGCUAGAAUCAGGCGGGCCACCCCUGGUUGUCGUGGCCACUCCUACCCCUGCUUGCGAUCCGACGGAACCGCCUAGGUCGAGCACUAGGCUUCUCAAUCAGACGAAGGACUCAGCCUUGUGUAGGGCGAUGCGCAGGAAAGCACGUCUUCUCGAGGGCGAAAUGAUCUCAGCUGGGAAGUCGGUGCGCGAGUGGACCAGCAAGAAAGUCAAGGCGAAGAGCCUCCUCUGCGACGUGAAGCUCUCCGAUGCCGAAGCUAAGGAUCUUCAGAAGCUCAUGUGCGCUAAUGCCUAGGAGUUGGCUGUCUUUAGCAUUAGCUCUUUGUGAUUGUUAUGUGUGUUGUCUUGUGUCGUCUUGUUAUGUGUGCGUCGUCUUUUUCUGAUGUUUAACAUUUUAAAUUGGAAUGUUCGUGGUCUCAAUGACCCAGCUAAGCGUCGUUGCGUCAAGUCCGUAGUGUCUCCUCUCCUUUGUUCUGUUGUCUGUAUUCAAGAAUCUAAGGUGGAUUCUGUGUCUCAUUCUUUCCUACGCUCUUCCUACGGAUCUAACUUUGAUAGGUGCCACUUUAUUCCGACGGUUAGGGCUUCUGGUGGUAUAAUCUCUUGCUGGAGUUCUAAAUUUUUCUUGUGUAAUGAGGUCUUAGUGCGAGAGCAUUCACUUACUCUCAAUCUAACACGCCUCGCUAGCGGAAAGACCUUCUACCUCACGAACGUGUACGGGCCUCCGAACUGGGAUGGAAAGGAAACUUUUUGCACCGAACUGCUCUCUUUUAAAGGGUUUGCUCUAACAACUGGAUCAUCUGCGGAGAUUUUAACUUCACCAAAAAUCAGUCUGAAAGAAAAGGAAACCCCUGGAGUGCUAAAGCUAUGGCUAUGUUUACUGACCUCAUCAGUAACUUAGCGGUUAUUGAUUUUCCUAUGUCUAACCAAAACUUCACUUGGUCGAAUAUGCAACAUAACCCACACUGGCCAAACUCGACAGAUUUCUUGUAUCAACAGAAUGGGACCAUACUUUUCCUCAUUGCAAGGUCAAAGCCCUUCCCCAAACCACCUCCGACCAUACCCUGAUCAUCCUGACUACGGGGCACCACCCCACGUCGAGGAGAUUUCGGUUUGAGUCGGUCUGGCUAACAAAGGAGGAUUUUCUCACAAAAGUACCGCUUUGGUGGAAUGAAGUCACCCCUAAGAUAUCGACCAUCCUCACUAUAUCUGCUAAGUCAGGCAUUGCAGAGUUAGGAUGAAGGAAUGGUGUAAGAUGAAUUUUCACAGCAUAUCUAACUCUAAGAGGCUACUGCAGGAGGAACUCCAAAAGAUCGACCAAUUAGAGGAACAUCACAACCUAUCCCAGAAAAUCUUGGAUAAACGGGCGACCUCAAAUCACAACUACACUUUAUCCUAGAGGAGGAAGAAAUUCUCUAAAAAAUCAGGGCCAAACAGCGUUGGCUCAAAGAAGGUAACGGAAACACUAAAUUUUUUCACGCGGUGGCCGAUGGUCGAAAACAUAAUAACAGGAUUGAAGUCAUUGAAGACGACCCCGGGCGGGAAAUUUCUAAUGAAGAACACAAGAGAUCAUACUUCUUUCACUCUUUUAAACGACUGUUUGGCCAGGAAGCGGAGAGUCUACCGUCUCUUGGAGAUUGGAGUAGUCUCUACCACUCUAACAGAUUACUAAACCCUGAAAUCCUAACCACUCCGUUUACAAUUGAGGAAGUUCGGGCUGCCACCAUCCAACUUGGCAGCGAGAAGGCCCCUGGGCCAGACGGGUUUUCCUUAAUUUUCUUCCAAACCUUUUGGGAGACGGUCAAGGAGGAUAUUUUCAAUGUUUUCACCGAUCUCUAUGACGGCAAAUUAUACACUGGCCCGACUGACUACUCUUUCGUGUGCCUCAUACCUAAAAAAGAAGUAGCACGCAAGGCCAAAGACUUCUGACCGAUCAGUCUCAUCAAUGAAAUUCAAAAAAUCAUCUCAAAAAUCCUUACUAACAGACUUGCGCCUAUACUUCUGUCCAUUAUCACUUCAAUGCAAUCGGCCUUCUCAAAGACUGGCAACUAGUAGACUCUUUCUUCACCUCUUGCGAACUUGUAAACUGGUGCUCAAAAUCUAGUAAUGAAUGUGUAAGUAUCAAGGUUGACUUCGAAAAAGCAUUCGACAAUGUCAAAUGGGUCUUUCUGCAAAGUAUACUUAGAUGGCUGGGUUUCAACGACAAAUGGUGGACUUUGAUUGAGUAAUGUAUCGUCAACGCCAAAAUAGCUAUUUUAGUCAAUAACACCCCGACAGCAUGGUUGAAAGCAAAGAAGGCCCUCAGACAGGGAGACCCUCUCUCCCCCUACCUCUUUUUAUUGGUGACUGACUGUCUAGCAAGAGUAGCUGAGACGGCUAGAGAUAACAGCCUGCUACACAAAAUUGGCCUAUCAGAAGAUUGUCAGACGGUGAUUAUCCAAUACGCCGACGACACUAUUCUUUUCUGCGAGCCAAGAAAAAAUUAUAUGCGGAACCUCCAGUUUAUUUGGAAAACAUUUGAAUGGGCCUCGGGCCUCAGGAUUAACUUGGACAAAUCGAAAUUAUUUUACUUUGGGCCCAAUCCUUGCAAAGCCGAUAGACUGGCCAGCAUUUUACGCUGUAAAGUAGGUUCUCUACCAUUCCGCUAAUUGGGAUUACCACUUAACACCAAACAACUUCGUAGGGAAGAUUGGGCACUGGUUAUCGAUCGCAUAGAUAGGAGAAUCGAAGGAUGAAAAGCUAAACUUCUCUCCCAGGGGGGGAGACUCACCCUUGUCAACUCGGUUCUAACCAAUUUGUCGCUAUUCUAUAUUUCCAUCUUCAAAGCGCCUCAAUUGGUACUACACCGGAUGAAGCCCUGAGAAGAGCCUUCUUCUGAAAAAGGUGUUCCAAAAUUUUCGAGGGAGCAUGCCUCAUUAGCUAGAAUACUGUCUGCAAAAGCAAGGCAGAAGGAUAGCUGGGGAUCAAAGAUCUGGACUCUAUGAACACGGCACUCUUAACCAAAUGGUGGUGGCGUUUCUUCAACGAGCCACACCGGCCUUGGUGCAAACUGAUUAGAUCUCUUUAUUACAUCAGACGAAGGCCGUUGCACAAGGGCAGUGCCUUCGCACCUUACUCGCAGUGGUGGAAAAGUGUGGUACGAUGCCGCGAAGUGUUUAAAUGCGGUGUAUCUUACGUGCUAGGUAACGAAAACAACAUCAGGAUGUGGUCCGACAUUUGGGUUGGAGAAACCCCUCUAAGCACCAUGUUUCCAGACAUUUUCGUCAAUAUUACGAACAAGGAGACCAGAGUAUCUCAAUGCUGGAACUCAAACAGAUGGAGAUGGCACUACAUCUGCAGGGGCUUCGCAGUGUCCCAUUCCACCGAAAAUCGUAGACAAUUGAUAUCAUUUAAAGUUCUGAUUAUUCAUUGUAUCCCAAACACCAGCCUGGACUUGCCGAAAUGGAGGUGGACCUCCAACUAGCUUUUUACUGUCAAAUCCCUCUACCAGUUUCUAGCGAGACUUGAUAAACCAGCAUAUUUAGAGAUUAAAAAUUUCAGUCAAAAUCAAAAUCUUCAUCUAGUUGCUGCUUCGAAAGAGAUUACUCACUGCCGACAGAUUGCUCAAUCGACGGAUGUUUGUAGAGCAAAACUGUGGAUUCUGUGUUGUACUCACGGAAAGCUGCGACCACCUCUUCUGUUACUGUGUCUUCGCACGAUACCUUCUCCUUCUUGCGGCGGGUCUAGAUGCACCCGACGAGGACUCGGGUGACGUAAGAGACCUUUCGACAAAUAUUUCUAACAUCCCUGACAGCGCGAAGAGAUCAAACGGUCUUACCCUUUUGGUAGCAAUUUGGUGGGCCGUCUGGAUGGAAAAAAACAACCUUACUUUCCGCUCGAAGUCUCCUAACGCUAUCCGGGCUCUCGAACGUGCCAAACUCUUGAUAAAGAAUUGGAUCGAGCUCCUCUGAAUCGUCAUCAAUUCUUCUUCCCUACUCUUCAGUCUUUUCUCUUUCACUUUUGCCUUUUUCUUUUUUCCUACUUUCUCUCUUUGUUUAUUUUCUUACUACACUUUUUUGCUCUUUUUUCGGAAGCCUUAGCUGCUUCCACCCUGUUCGCCUAGUUCAUUUUGCUUAAUGAAUGAAUAUAGCUUGCUAUCUUUUUCUCAAAAAAGAAUUAGAAUUCGAGUCGGAGUUGAGAUUGACAGUAAAAUUGGAAUUAGAUUAACAUGUAAAAGAUAUAUCUUAAGAUUAGAUUGGCCAUCAAUAACAGAUAUUUGUUAGAGAUCUACUCUCUUUCCAACUUCAUACGUUUAUAAAUGCAGAGGAUCUUACGUAAAUUAGUUAUUACUUCACAAUUCCUCACCUCGUACAUCAAAACCCUGGGCGUUGCAAUCCUCCUUCUAUUAAGAGUUUGAAUUGGCUGCUCGAACUCGCAAAAGGCAAUACAAAAGGUGACCAGGGGAGGCCACACGCUUUCGGAGGACAUCAUUGAGUACGGCGUCCUCCCUCUGCUUCCCGCCAAAACUAGUUGCAAUGCGUGUCGAAGCGCUGGCGCGCCUUAAUCUCCACUGACUCCCACUUCAUGCGCCUGCAAGACGCCUACGCCCGCUCCUCCCCCUCCCUCCUCUUCGGCGAAACGCCUUGCCAAGUCUUCCUCUCCCGCCGAGAAGAAAGGAACCCACCCUGUUCCAUCGGCUUCCUGAGAAUCUUCAAGCAGCCCUAGUUCAACUGCCCAGUCGACGACUGGCUCCCCCUCGCGGCCUGCCGCGGAAUCCUCUGCAUUGCUAUAACCUCGAGGAGCGGCAUUAUAUCUGAGCUCUACUUGGGUAAUCCGGUGUGGAUGGAUUGGCGUCCUCUCCCAACACCCCCAAGCUGGACGCCCCAAUUUUCUUGUUGGAGGAUGCAAUUAGCUGUCUAUGACACGCAAUGUGGCGCUCUCCGCAAGAUUGUCGUGUUGUUUUUAAUGCAGAGCGGUACCGCUGGCCAAGCAGACGCUUCUUUCUUCGUCUUCUCUUCCGCCAAGGGCUCAUGGGAAACAUCUCGGUAGCAAGUUUCGCUGAAGUUGUUGUACGCUCUGGAAGAUGCGUAUGAAUUACUUUCUAGUGUCUAUGUGGCGGAAACUUUCUUUUGGCAUGUCAGAAGUGAGAUGUUAUGGUUCGAUCCGAGAGAAGAGCGCGGCGGCGCCGUACCUUCGCCAUUCACGGCCGCCGCGUAUUAUCAGAAUAUCAGUGAAUGGGAAGGGAAGUUGAGCUUCGCGAGGUUGGAUGAUAGGGAGAUCCACAUGUGAUCCUGAAACCAAUCCUCUUGGUCCUACAGGAUUUGCUUACAAUUGAGACGGUCGCGAAAGCCAAUCCAGACUUCUUCGCUUUCAUGGGCCUCAGGAUGAAUCUAAGAAACCAAAGUACCAAAUCGUUGGAGACCGUUCUUAACAGGACCCGCGCGUCUAUUAUUGCCUUUGGAGUUGGUUUCAUCGUGCCCAAAUUUAAUUCUCACGGGAUCUGCUACGACACAGCAACCGGAGAGGCAUGGAAUUUGAAGCGAGCAAUUUCAAGUGAUGACGGUACGAGACAGGUUGGUUACACAAAUAGCCUUCUUAAACUGACAACUCCUUCAUUACUGUAGUAGUCAGCAGCUUCUUGAGCUCUACAUUAUUUUAUAAUUUAUAGAACCUGUGCCUGUUCUGCAACGCGAGCAACCGCUCCGCAAUAUAGUUCUUUUGCUCUCUGAACUUCGAGGAAACAAAUCACCAUUGUAUGUUUAUUUUGCUUUUGUAUAACAAUUCAAGCAAAUAUAUAGCUUUUGGAUUCAUUAUAAAGCUAGUCUGAGGAAGAUGAAUAAAAAAUUAAUAAUUUUAAUAACUAUGUACUUUAUGAAAUUUAGAAAAUUGAUAAAAAAAAUUCUUAGUAUCAGAAAUUUGAUCAAAUAUAAUUCACCCUCUGGAAUUUAAGAAAUUUUAAUUUAUCAUCCUAACAAUUCAUUUGUUACAUUUUCUUUCUUUUUUUCUUUCUUUCUUUCUUUUUUUUACUUUUUCUAUGUAAAGGCUGUAGGCUUAUUCCAUUAUUCGUUGCAAUUGCACACUUCGAAUUUAAACUACCCGCUGUGCGGCCUCACGCGGGACCCUGCCGUUUUGCACAUAACCCCUUAUUAAUGCUUUGUUUGAUUCGGGGUUAAGUAAGAACUAGUUAUUUCAGGGAUAUGUUUAAGUUCAGGAUUAAUGUGGAGUUAGAGUAAUUUUGUAUUUGGUUGAGAAUUGGGUUUAAUCCAGAUAUAAGAAAAUUAGUGUUUGAUUAGAGUAGGUGGAAUAAGAAGGAUGGUGGGUUGUUAUAAAUAGAAAAUAAUGAUAUUGCCUCAAUUUUCAUAUUUGAAUUUAAAUUUUUUAUUUUAUAUUUAAAAUGUUAAAUUUAAAUAAAUAACUUUUAAAAUUAAAAAAUUCAAAAUUAAAAUUUAUUUUUAAAUCUCAAAUUUAAAAAUUUAAAGUUGUAAAAUUUAAAUCAAAUCUAACAAAUAUAAAAUUUUAAAAAAUAAAAAUAACAAUUUAAAAUUUAAUUUAAAAUUAAAAUUUUAAAAAAUAAAUAUAUAAAUAUAUAUUUUAAGAUUACAAAUUAUAAAUUUUUAAAUUUUCAAUUAUAAAAUAUUAAAUUUAAAAUUUAAAUAAUUAAAAAUAACAAUUUUAAAAUUUUAAAUUUUAAAAUUUAUUUUAAAAUUUAAAAAUAUAAAUAUUAAUUUUAAGAUUACAAAUUAAAUAUUUUAAAAUUUUCAAGUAUAAAAUGUCAAUUUUAAAUUUUAAAUUUUAAAUUUUAAAAAUAUUAAUAUUAAUUUUAAGAUUACAAAUUAUAAAUUUUAAAAUUUAUAAUUUAAAAUUAAAAUUUUUUAAAUUAUAUUUUAAAUUAAAUUGGGAUGAGAUUAACUUUAAUCACAUCUCUAUUUUUGGGAGGGGUGGGGUUAACUAACCCCAACCCCGCCCCUCUAAAAUCAUGUUUAGCUAUAGUUUGAGGACAAAUUACCGACGAAAAGAUCAACAGAAAUCUCAAUCUAUCAAAAAUAAAUGCGAAAAUUAAAAUAGCAUACCAAAAUUUACAUAGAAAAACUCCAACAAAAAAAAAAAUUUACGGAACAAACACGCGAUAACAAUUCACUAAGAAAUAAAAGAUUAUAAGGUGAUUACUUACUACACGGAUUCAAACUUCUCUUUUAUCUUUUUUGGAUUUCGCGCUCUUCAACGGCUAGUCCACGCCCACAUACGAAUUCACGAACGCCACUCGAAUUCAGAAGCACCAAUGAUUUGAAUCCACGAAUUGUCUUGGUCACGUCGAAUUCAUGACGCCACUCCGUCCGGAACAAAACAAAUAACAUUGGUGGUGAUUCCUUACUUAGAGAAUCAUUAAAAAACCGUUAAAAAUGUCUCUAAGCAAUGACCAUAUCAAUUCUCCAUAACAAAAGAGAAAUUAGAUUUUCAAAAAGUGAUCCGAUAAAAACUUGCUUUUGGGGAUGAGAGAGAAAGCACCAAACAAGUUUCUAAGAUUUUCUAAAAAAUAUUUUAUACUUAACCACAUUUUAAAGACAACCUCACAUCUUAUUUAUUGAUUUGAAAACAAUUAGAACCAGAUUAGAAUUGAAAAUUUGAUUUUAAAAAGUUUUGGAAGUAAUUAGACUCAGAUUAAAAUUGAAAAACUGAUUUUAAAAUGUGCCAUCUUAUUUAUAUAUUUGGAAACAAUUACAAUCAGAGUAGGAUUGGAAAACUUCAGAUUUAAAUAUUUAUCAAUUUAUAUCUAUUCUAAUAUCUUCCAAAUAUGUAUAUGAUUAUAAAUCAUCACCGAUAUUAUCUAAACUUAUCGAGCAUCGUAAAUUCAUACUUUGAAUUUUCAAAUCUUCAAUUUUCAUUUUUUUUUUUGAAUUUUGAAGACUCCGACUCACUUCACGAAAUAUACUAAUAUAAAAUUCGUAACAUGUCAAAAUUUAAUUUAUUAUAAUUUAUAUUUUAAAUUUUUAAAAUUAUUAUAAUUAAGUCCUGUAAUUCAAUUUAGUUGAUUAAAUAUUAACAUAUUAUUAAUAUAUAAGUGAUAUAUCAGUACUAUACAUUAUUUUUAAGUUAACAAUAUAUUAAUAAUUAAUCAACUAAAUUAGAUAGUAAAAUUUAAUAAUAAUAAUUUUAAAAUUUUAAGUCAGAAAUUAAAACAUAUUAAAAUUUGAAAACGAAAGUGUCAAUUUUGAAGACCACGCAUGUAAUUUAUCAUUUUUUAAAAAAAUUUAGCAUAACGUACGGACAUUUGUCAAGAAUCCUAUGUAAGUUAAAGUACAGGGCGGUGAUAUAAAAGCUAAACCGCAGUGACCGACACGUGUCAGUAUCAGGGACAGUCACCACACGUGGCAUUUCUUAAGAUGCUAUGCUCAAUCUAGGACGGACACGUGUCAGUUCACGGUAUUCCAUGUUCAAUUAAUUUUUUAAAAAAAAAAGAAUCGGUGGUUUCCUAAAAUUUUAAAAUUCACGUACGUACGUACGAAAUAUAUUAAUUUUUUAAAACGCAUUUACGAGUAUCUUAAAAUAAAAUAUUAUUUAUGGAAUGAGUCAAUAAUUAUUUUUAGAUCUCUGUUCUAAUAAUUUAUUAAAAUCACAACAAUAAAAUAGUAAUAUCUGUAGAGAAUCGAAGCUGGAUUUGAGAUGUCGCGUUAUAAUUUAUGUAAAUUUCAAAAUAAAUUAACUGGUUCUGAAUAUAAGAUGAGAAAACUAUAAUCAAAUUAAAUAAUGAUAAAUUCAAAUAAAAAUAAUGAUAUGGUAAAUAAUAAAGUGUUCAUUUUUAUGCAAUCUAAAAAAAAAAGACAUUUUUGCAUAAAAAAUCUACUUAUUUUAGACUUUUGCAAAAUCGGAUCACCUUUUUUGUUUUUACAGAUACGGUCCGUUUUUUCAGCAAACUGACCAAAAUACCCUUAUUACUUUUUCUCUUUCCUCUUUCUCUCUCCUCUUCGUUUCUGUCGUUCUUUUUUUUUUCUCGCCGAAAAAAAAGAGGCGGAUCGUCGCCUUCUUUUUCACCGUCGCCUCCCUCCUCACCCUCCUCUCCACCGCUCGCGACCCCCUCCUCCUCUCCCCCGCCGCCGCGGACCCCCAGCCCAAUCCCGUCGCCGCGGCAGCAGCGGCCGCGGCGAACGGGGUCGGGCUGGAUGCGGAGAAAAAGACGACGGCGAAGAAGAAGAAGGGGAGGCCGAGCGGCAGGGCGCAGGAGGGGGAGGCGGAAGCACAGUCGGCACCGGCCCCGCGGACCCCCAGCCCGAUCCCGUCGCCGUAGCGGCAACGGCAGCGGCCGCGGCGAACGGGGUCGGGCUGGAUGCGGAGGCAGAGGCGGAGAAGAAGACAACGGCGAAGAAGAAGAAGGGGAGGCCGAGCAGUAGGGCGCAGGAGGGAGAGGCGGAGGCGCAGCCGGCGCCGGCGAGGAGUGGGGAACAUUACACCAUUACACCAUUACACCAUUAUACCAUUUUGCACCAUUACACCAUUACACCAUUUGCACCAUUACACCAUUACACCAUUUGCACCAUUAUAAUUUUGCACCAUUACACCAUUACACCAUUUGCACCAUUACACCAUUACAAUUUUGCACCAUUACACCAUUAUACUAUUUGCACCAUUACACCGUUACACCACCAUUACACCAUAUGCACCAUUACACCAUUCGCUGGUCGGCGGCUUCUGCGCGGCGGCGGGAGGAGGGACGGCGCCGACGGAGAAGAACACGCGCGGCGUCGGCACCGGCGCCGGCUGCGCCUCCGCCUCCCCCUCUCGCACCCUGCCGCUCGGCCUCCCCUUCUUCUUCUUCUUCGCCGUGGUCUUCUUCUCCGCCUCGGCCUCCGCAUCCAGUUUAGGCCUUCUUCUUCGCCGUCGUCUUUUUCUCCGCCUCGCCGUCGUCGGGCUGCAUGUACAAGACGGCCAACUCGGUGUACCGGCCGGACUCGCCGGAGUCGCGCUUCACCAACUCGUCGAACGAGGGGCGCGAUCGGGACAUGAUCAGCCUGUCGACGGCGCCGUCCGACGACGAGUAGUACGACGGCGAGUCGUCGGAGAGCGUGAUACGCGGCAUCAAGUCGUCGGCGCACGUCGACCGCCUCUUCUUUGAGCCCCCUGGUGCCGACACGGGCUCCAUACUCGGCGACGCGGCGCCGAAGAAGGCGGAAGACGACGACGACGACAGCGCCAAUAGCGAUGGCGACGGCGGGGCGAUGCCGUUCAAAGAGAGCGUGGUGGUGGCCAUGGAGUCGCGCGACCCCCUCCCCUCCCCCUCGCUCUCCUCCACCUUCGCCGUCGCCGCCAUGGCCAUGGGCUCGGCGACGGCGACGGAGACGACGGUGGGGGUAGGCUCGGCGGCGGCGACGGGGGAGAGGAGGAGGGGGUCACGGGCAGUGAAGAGGAGGGUGAGGAGGGAGGCGACGGUGAAGAAGGAGGGUGAGGAGGGAGGCGUCGGUGAAAAAGAAGGCGACGGUCCGGCCCGCCUCUUUUUUUUUCGACGAGAAAAAAAAAAAGAACGAUAGAAACGAAGAGGAGAGAGAAAAAGAAAAGAGAAAAAGUAAUAAGGGUAUUUUGGUCAAUUUGCUGAAAAAGCGGACCGAAUCUGCAAAAACGAAAAAUGUGAUCCGAUUUUGCAAAAGCCCAAAAUAAGUGAAAUUUUUACGCAAAAGGGCCAAAAAAAAAAAAAAAACUACUAAUUUCCAAUUUCGACAAAAAAAAAUAAAUAAUAAUAAUAGUAAUAAUAAUAAUAAUAUCGGGAAAAAAAAUCUCGCCGGGAAAAGCGGGGCGCGUCCUUACAGUUAGCUCCUCCAAUUCCGGUCCCGCCUACUAAUCACCUCGCGCCACGUGUACGGCUACCAUUCCUCCGUGCCACCGCCGAGCGCGUUGGUCGGCGACAGCUAUCCUCCUCUUUGGGGCCCACGCGCUUCGACCGUUACGUACGGCCGUAGGGCCUAGGAUUCCCCCCAAACCCUAUAUGGCUAUAUAUACACACACACACACCCCACAACACACAAAGCAUUAUUAUUAUCCACAUCUCAAAUACAUAAAACUCUCUCUCUCUCUCUCUCUCUCUAUAUAUAUAUACAAACCCCUUAAUCUCUCUCUCUCAAUUGCAAUUACAAUCCAAAUCCAAUGGAAACAAUCUCAAUUUUCACCCCCAAUUUCUCAAUCCACCCUCCCCCGCCGCCGCGUCCGGCCGGUCUCGGGCCAGCCAGACUGCAGUAUCGCUCGUUCGGACCGUCUUUCAGGCCGCCGGCAGGCCCCGGACUCCCCGAACGGAGGAGACGUCUGGCUGCAGCUCAUUUCGCCUUCAGAAGAGAGCCCCAUGGAUCGGACUUCGGCGGCGGUGGGUUCGUGGACGAGAACAUGAUCGUGCUGCGGAAGAGGAUCAACGACAUGGAGAUGGCGGAGCGGAACUACGAGCCCCCCGCGGAGUGGACCGAGUGGGAGAAAGGGUACUACACGAGCUACGGCGCGCACGUGUGCGAGUUCGCGGGCCUGCUGCAGGCCCUCUUGUUGAGCACCAGGCCUGGUUUGGGGCUGGGGAUGCUGGGGCUCGUCGUGCUGAGUGUGCCGAUCGCGGCGGUCACGGCAGUCUGCCAUUUGAUCGAGAUAUCGCAGCUGAUCCUUUCCAAAGUGCAGUAAAUUGAUCGAAAAUCUCAUACGUAGAUUAUAUAUGCGUCAAUUUGUUCAUUUGUUCUUUUUUUCUUUUUUUUUUUUGGGGUUGGUAGAAUCAAGUUGUGAGUGUUGUACAAAAGAAUGUGUAAUUAGGCAUAAGUAAUAAAUUAAAAGCUUUUCGAGUUUAUUAAGUUCUCUAAUUCCCACUUAAGUAAGACUAAAAGCAAGUUGAAGUUACAAUAAUUAAAGCUCUAUAAUUGAACUGCAGAUAAUGUAUCAUCUUUAACAAUACUCCACUGGUUCCUAAUUAAAGCUUUAUUUUGAAAUUGCAGAAAAAUUGUGUUGCAUACAGCGAAAAAAUGUAAUAAAAAAUUACCGUAUCGGCUUCCGUAUGUAAUAUCAUAUUCCGCAUAUUGUUAAGACUCACUUGUAAUACGUUUUCUACACUCUCAUCGAAAAAUACAAGGGUAUAUUUUUACUUUUUUUUGCUCUAAUUCUAUUUUACCUAUCAGCGUUAAAUGAACCUUAAUACCAAACUAUGGCUAUAAUUUUAAAUUAAUUUUACUUUUGAAGUUAUAUUUUUCUAAGUUAGAUACAUUCGCAAAUCAGAAUCAGAUAUAACAAUACACAUAUUUUUCUUACCUAAAAGCUAUGAAUGAUAGUUAUAUUUUGGGAAAUAUGCGGCUUUACUCUCUACAACAAACUUAACAGGAACAAAUAUUUACAGAAAACAUAAUUGUUAUUGAAUAUUCAAGAAAAAAAAUAAUGCUCAAUUCACAUCCGUAUCGAAAUCCGAAGAAACACAGCAUAUUUGAAUCCAAAUUCAAAGGGUUUUUCUACAGAAAAAUCUGAAUCCGAAUCUGAAUUGAAAUACAAGCCAGAUUAUAAAAUCACAACUCAUUCUUGGGUAUUUUGGAUCCAAAUUCCCACAUGAGCACUAGGCCCAUGUAGGCAUUAGGGAUGAACACCAUCAUGCAUCCGAAACCGAAAAUUCAAAUUCAAAUUUUGAAUUUAUACAUUGGAAAUCACAACAUCCUAAUCAUAGAAUACUUCAAUCUAAUCAAAAAAUAAAAAUAUAUAUAAAAAAAAAGAGAAUCAUUAUUUCAAAGUGCAAAGUGGAUCAAUGAGACUCAACUUAAGCUACUAAACAUGUAACAGGAAAAAUGGCUCCAUUUGUUCUAAUCUAGUGUCCACAUCCAACCCAUAUGUCAGCUUCAACAAAAGCAAAUCUAUUACGCUGGAUCAGUCGAUUGCGUCGAAUUACAUAUUGCCGCCACUAAAAGCACCAUGAGACAGUUAAGUAGAAAAUGCUGUUUGAGAGAUAAUACCAAGAAACUUUGUUUCGAGAACCUGACUGUUCUAUGCUGUACAAAUAGAAUACGUGUUCAAUAAAACACAUUAAAUACAGAAUCAGAAUCUCUUAAAUCUUUCUUUUGCGCGUCACAGACCACGACCGAUAACACCAAUCGAAUCUCAUCCAAAGGCGGAAGGAAACUGAGCAUUCCUUCAUUGCGUGCAGCAUCGUGCGAAAGUCAUCAGCCAAUCGGUUGAUCCGGACCAAGUUGCAACAAAAUUCUCUAUAGGUAGGUUGAUCGAGCACUUGCGAUAAUAUAGCCGAUUAGUCACUAUUUGGACUUCGGCAAUUUGAAAAUGCUUUCCUUGUAGUAUUUGAGCUCCCUGAUGCUUUCUUUGAUGUCAUCCAUAGCUCUAUGCCUUUUCUCCUUUGGAGGAGCCUUCUUCUUUUCUGUUAAUAGAGAGGCAUAAUACAGUAAACAGGAUCUGUUUUAGUUGAAUGUUGCGAGAAAAAUUUACAGCAAAAUAAUCGUCAAAUAAACAAAGCGAUGGAUUAAUGCUGAAAUGUUAGUUUCCAUUUCAAAGUUAAGAAAUUCAAAUUCUACUGCUGAUGUAUCGUAUUAUUCUUUGGUAUACAUAAUUGGCCUCAACCGAUUUCAUUCAAAUUGCAGCCCCCAAAAUUGAAGAGCAUAGAUAAAGAAACUACCGCAACCAUAGAGUUUCGAAUUUUUGAUGUGAUAGUUAAUUAGAUUCACAAAUUUAAGUACUAAUCAAAUGAUGGUAGAAAACAUGGAAUGCCAACAACCCUCGACACAACUGAAGUUUGAAGUAAGUUAUUACCCCUUCUAACAUUCAGGGAUCGAAAAAUCAGCCCUUGGUUAUUAGCCACUUAUUGCUAUACCCCUGUUUUCAGCAAGAACAGCAAAAGCACAUGGGGUUUCCUGUAUUUUAUGCUAAUCAAUGUUUUCAUCUUCUUUAGGCAAGAAUUUGGUCCAAAACUCAUGCCUAACUAGUGGUGGGUAAAGUGUAAGUUGAUGUAUCAUGUUUCUGCAUUAAUAUUAAGCAAGGAUUAAAUGGAUCAAAAGGCAAUAACCCAGGAACAAGUAAUGCACAUUACAUCAUUUAUCUGAAGACCCUUUCGGAACAGAAUAAGGCCAAUUCCAGAUUGCUUUAGCACUUGGUUAGGAACAAGAGAGAGAGAACAACAACUUCAUAAUAUGCACAGAAAUAUGCUUGAAGAACAUUAUAAAGAAAAUAUAAUACCUCUGGGAAACCAACGGAUACAUAAAGCCAUGACACUACUGACAUCGACGAGUACAUGAGGGAAGAUUGCGGCGAGAUCUGGCAUGUAUUUCUGCCAGACGAAACACAAGAACCAAAUCUUAGCGAAUAAAAGAAGACAAUGAGACAUCAGGGGCCGAUGGGACGUACAACUUUGCAGUUAGGGACAUUCUCCAACAUUAUUCUUAAAGAGAGGAAAACGAUUACUUCCGAAUAAAGAUAAUCAAGCAUCUACUAAAAGGAGCAGCAUUGCAACAUUUAUUUGCCACACCAUAAAUUUCAGCAGAAAAAAGCUAAGUGCAUGUUUGGCAUUAUUUAUGUUCUUAUUUUUGUUUCCUCAAGUGGACCUAAUAAUGAACAUAAUUUUUGCUAUCAUGAAACUCUUUCAUCUUCCUUUUGUGCGAGCGUUUUCCUUUUUCGUUAUUAUUUGGAAAAGGUGGAUUUGCAAAUUAGCUAACAAUCACAAGAACAGACGAAGUCAUCUCUAGGCAUUGUUAAUCGCAUGGAGCAUGGGAAAAACAAAAGAAAAAAAUUAUUAAUGCCAAAUGAGGUCUACAUAAUCUUACACCGUCCAACCACAUUAAUUUUGUAUUUGAAGAUAUGGAUAUAUAUUGACUGGAAAUAAUCUUUUGACAGUACUUAACUACAGCAACUCGGUCAUAAUAUGAGUAAAUUAUUAUAUAUAUAGCAUUUGAACAUCUAGGAUUAAUUUACCAAUGCAUCGUAGUUUUUGCAUCUAUACAUACAUCAAUUGGACAUCAAACGAAAGCUACCAAGAAAGAAAACAUGUUAGGAAAUAGUAUACGAUGAUAGUAACUGAAAAAUGUAAGCAAUUUAUCUUGAUUUAGGAAGUCAGAAAUAUGUAUAAAAAUAAUAGUAAAUCAGAAAUGCAGCAAACCAAUUUACAGAGCAAUCCCAUUAAAUUGUCAAUUUUGAGAGAACUUGACCUUAAAGCAACAACACUCAAAAAAAAAAAAGGGGUUAAGAAACAAAAAGAAACUGUUUGCAAACCUUUAAGAAUAAGAAGUCAACAUAAAUAGAAUUCCCAGCCAAUAGAGGAGUAUCUGAGCCUAUAUGCUUUUUCACAAACUCUAUAACCUGAAAAGAAUUGGUACCAAUAUAUUAUUAUAUCAAAUUUGUCAGAUAGUUAUAAACAGGAAAGUUGAGAGCUGAAAAGAAAUGGCACCUUUACCUCUUGCAUUAUCACUAGUCUAUAUGAAGAGCCAUGACAAUAAUGGAAGCUACGCAUUACUAGAUUGGAACUUAAUAUCAACUCUAUUCUACAAUAUUAAGCAAAAAAUUCCAAAUCGCAACUGCUUUCAGUUAUCAUCAAAUCUAUUAUACAUAACAAAGGAGAAAGACCAAACGUACUUGUUUUUCUGCAUCACGCUCGGAAAUUGUACUUUGCAGAACUCUCUUCGUCAGCCCUAAAUUUUAUUGAAGUGAAAAAUCCAUUUUAUUCUCAGUGCAUGCUGUGAAGAUAAAAAUCAAUAAUAAUCUUUCCAAAAGAGUGUCUACCAACAUACCACUAGCUGCAUGGUGCUCCCGACACCACUCUCCCAUUUUAUCCAAACAUUCCUUGGUCUGACUAAUAACAAAAUCUGGGCCCUGAAUGGAAAAUAUAAAUUGUCAUAAACUAAUGCACAACUGAAUACAAGAGAUUUAUCAUACCAAUAAUUUAUGUGAAUUUACAAUGUUGCUAUCUUGUGAUGUAAGAAUAUGUUGCAUAACAGGAACUUUCAAAAACCAGGAUUCCUACUGAUAAAAGAAAGCAAACUAGAAAAAUCAUAAACAAAAUCCACAUUCAAUAUUCACAGAGGCUAUCACAUAUUAAUAUUGUUAAGUAAGAUCAAAAUAGUGCUAUGUUUUAGGAGAUUGAAUAAUUGCUUGAAAUAACUAACUUCUCAUAACUUUCCAAACCGACCAAAGAUAGUCUAUUUUAUGCACUAGUGCAAAAGAAGAUGAUUGUUACGUAGGUCCUAACUACAGAAGAUGAUUGUUACAUAGGUUCUAACUACAGGAGAUGAUUGUUACAUAGGUCCUAACUACAGAAGAUGAUUGUUACAUAGGUCCUAACUACAGAAGAUAAUUGUCACAUAAGUUCUAACUACUAGCCCUUUUAUGCACCCUAUUCACAUAGGACAUUAUGUUUAGGAUGAGUAAAGGAUGCCAUUUACGCUGGUUACGGAACACAAAUUUUGUGACAGGUAACAACAAAACAGAGACUAACCUCACCAAAAAAAAUAUAUUUUUUGAAUCAUAAGAUUAUUGGUGAGACAGGCAAAGAGAAAAAUAACUCAAGAAUCUGCAAAGCUGAGCUGCUCUAUAGGAGAACUUAACCAAUUAAAUGCACGUGAAGAGAAGUUCAUUUGGCCUUUCAUUUGAUUGUGAAAUUAAACAAUAGAAAACCAAGAAAAAGAAUCAAUGUUCUAAGAAGAUGUUGCAAUAUGCAGGGUAGCAAGACAUUGUAUAAUAUACUUAGGCAGGUGCAUAGGCAUAUUCAUUUAAAUUAGAUUGAAAAUAUAGGUAACUAAAAGUACUAUUUGCUAUAGUUCAAUUUAAAGAAUAAAGUAAGCCUUAAAAAUUACACACGAUUAAUUUUAUGAGUAACAAUAAGUAACAACGAAGCAAAAAAGAUUUUAUUUGAGAAACAUUUAUCACGCAAACUAAAGUAUGUUAAUUAACCAAUAAAUAGCCAAGGACAUUUAAUAUAAAAUUAAACUGCCCAUUAAUGAUCACAGUGGUGUUGUAUAAGACUCAUAUAGUGGUUGUUUUUUUACUGUUAUUGCCAGUAGGGAGUAAAUCAAACUUCUAUCAACAAUUCUAAGUACACAAGACAAAGCAAAAGAAAAGCCAAAGUAGUGCAACAACAUUGUAUACAAGGACGAGCAAAUGAAAUGAGCUUGAAGGUAUAAAAAGUAAAAGCCACCUCAAUUGACUUGGUAAGUUUACCAUCUGUUAUGAUACAAGCAAUCUCCAGUAUCCGAUCAGUUGUAACAUCCAAACCUGCAGGUUGCACAUUACAGUUAAAGAAAAAGAUUGUGGGACAUCUGAAAUUGACCAUCAUAGUUUUAAUACACUUUUAACUUAGCAUUGAAAAUUGAAACUACCAACAAACUGUCCACAACUAAACGAAACAUCACACGAUGAAUUAAAUAACCAAUAAAGGUAUCACAUUGGAUGCCUAGACAGUGUAAUCUAACACCUAAGCAUCAAUGAUAGAACAAAAGGGGAGCAAAAUAUAAAAAACAAAGAAACUAAUAAUAACGCUACUGGAAACAGCGAAUCAAUAUUGCUUAAGUCAACUAUGCAAAUUUGUACCUGUCAUUUCCAAAUCAAUCCACACAAGGGGCAUCUUGUAGUCUGUCGAAGAUGACGCAAGAAUUUCUUGGUUGAGUCUACCAUUUUUCUGUGAAUUCUCUUUUACUGAUGAUUCAGCUUUUUUGCUGUUUUUCAGUGAAUUAUCUUUUCCUGAUGAUUCACCUUUUUUGCCGUCUUUAGCUGCAUAUAAGCAAACUUUCAAGGAGCGUAUAAAGAGAAUUUGACUUACUACAUAGUUAAUCAGAAUGUCAGCUUCCAUUUAAGUAAAAAAUUCACUCAAUAAACCAUUACAUCUCAAAAACAAAACCAGAACAAGUGAGAGAUAGAAAAGGAACAGAGAAACUUCCUUUGGGAUCAAGAAAAAUUAUGAUAUCCAAAUAUUUCCUAGACGUAUAUGUCACGCAACAGUUAAUGUGAUGCUGCACAUGCCUAACAGUCAUGUGCAAAUGUUCCUACGUAUGUUAUAAAACUAUAUUCUCUCAAUUCUCACAUGUAUGAAACUUUCUCACUAGUUUUUAGUAAAAUCCCCAAAAAAGCAUAUAUGAAGACUGCGAUUCUAAAGGGGUAUAGAUGUAGAACGCUAAUUUUUUUAGGGGUAUGUAUGUAACUCAAAGAAGUGUUUGCCAUGCAUGAAUGUGCAACUUAACUCAAGAAUUCAAAAAAGAAACUAAUCUGUGAGAUCUAGACCUAGUGGUCACAGUAUUCUUUGAAAACUAACCUGAUUUAGGAGAUUUGCUUUCAUCUUUGGCAGCAACUAGAGUUGUAAUUUGAUCUGUAUCAUCUUCAGCAUCCAAGGUAAGAACAGAGAAGACGUUAGCAAGCUUAUCCAUCAGAAGAAUCCUUUUCUUACAGACCAAAUGAAACCUGUUUUUUUUAACAUCCACAAAGCAUCCAUGUAGUUAAAACUCAAUGGUAGCAAAAGAGGAAAAUCAAAGUCAAGAAAUACACAAGAAAUAACUGCAUGCUGAAAUAAAGUGCUAGUAAACUUGCAACAUUGAUUACCCAAUGAAUCAUGAUGAGAAUGCUCAUUCUCAUUGAAUAAAUAUUGUGAGUGCUCAUAUCAAGUUAUAUAAAUGAGAUUCAAGUUGUUAUGAUGGUGAUCAGGGUAGCUGACAGGGCCAUCGCUAAAAUGCUUAGGCACUACCUUAGUGUUUUAGCUGGACCGGUGAAUAACUCAUAUAUUGCAAACUUUUUUUGGAUAAUCUAAAAAAACUUUCAAAGAAAAAAAGGAAAGCACCAACACUUCAACUCUGUUUGGAUGCAUGAACAUCUUGCGUAGCAUAUCUCUUUGAUUUAAAUAAGAAGCCUGCAGUAUUUGGUAGAUGAGGAGUGUUAUCAAAUAUCUAGAAUGGAAUACUAUAUUCCACCAUCAAAUCAUUUUUUUUGAAAUAAGAUAAAUCACCUCGUAGAUGAACUAUGCUAUCCAACCAAAUCAUAGAUGUCAAGACCUUCCAAGGAGAAAAAAUCAAACUCCUUACUUUUAAUCACACAAGAGAGCCCUCAAUAAGUUAUCAUUGGAUAACUUAUUCCAACAUCCAAAAGAGCUUUUAUCUCAUCCAAACCAAAACAGUUUAAACACAUGUAACUAUGAUGCUCUCUCAAAAGGAUAAUCCUUUAGAAAAUAAGACGGAAUGAUUUGUCCUUAUCUACAAAAAUUGUAGAAGGUAGAUAAUUGCAUUCGACAACAAGGCUAAGGCCUAGUUUGGUAAUGCGGAGGCUACAAGCACCGGUUUUAUGCGUUGGAAGGCCCAAAAAGAAUUCGAAAACAGUUUCAAUAUUCCCUCCUUUAAUGCUAUAAGAUUGCAGUGGCUAAAAUUGGAAGCGCUUUCAAAAUUUUUCGCCCUCCCACAAUAUAAAAGCGGUGCUUUUAGCCACCACAUUAACAAACUAGACCUAACACCUACUACGGUUUCAAUUCGUGUGCCCUGGUGAUAUGAAAACUUAAAAGCUAGACACAAUGUCGCAUUGUACUCCAUUACCAAUUCAACUGUGACAGCAAGCAAAGUGAUCUUACAAAUGAAAAGGAAAAAAAAGGAAAAAAAAAGAAGAAAAAUCCCCUUCAAUCGCUAGGAAUUCCCAUGCCCAAACUAAAAAUCAUUAGACAUUCAUCUUUAGCACUCAUUAUUCCACUAAAAAUCCACUUCACCACUAGUAUCUCCAAAAUUCCAAACAUCUACAAACCCAAAAAGAAAGCUUAAUUUGUCCUAAAUUAAUCGUCAGAGCAAUCAAAAUUACAAAUUUUGUCACGAUCACUCGGCAUUCGCCAUUUUCCGCGCAAGAAUCCUACAAGUUCAUCUUCUAAUCCCCCCCACCCUCCACAAUCAUUCCCAUUCUCAUAGCAAUCUCUCUGUCCGAGGGAACCCAAAUUAACACAUGCACACAAACAUAUCCUCAAAACAUCCGAUCAAAGAGGAUCAAGAUACAACUUUUCCAGCAGAUGCAUCAAGAAACCAAGCACACAAACCCCAAAUCAACAUAUAAUAAUUAACCAAUCAAAGCAAAAUUGGGUGCAAAAACAAGAGCAGAAAGAGUGAUACCCUAGGUCAGAUACGGAUCAACUCUUCUUCUUCUUCUUGUUCUUCUUCUUCUACUACUACUACUACUACUGGGUUUGUUUAGGAAAUAGAGAGAGAGAGAGAGAGAGAGAGAGAGAGUUAGGGUUUUAGUGGAGUUCGGCGAGGACGAGGAACGAUUUACGUAUGGAGUCGCAUGGACUGAGGCGUAUGCGGAUAGGCGCAUACUAAUUGUCGAUUUCUUUUUUUAUUUUUUUGAAAAACUCCAGUGUGAUUUCUUACUUACUCACUUUAGUAUCCUGUAGUUUAAAACGUAUCAAUUUAGUAUCAUAUAAUUUUAUUUUCUUUUUAUUAUUUAUUUCACUAAUUUUUUUCUUUUAAAUACGCUUUUAUGAUUUUUCACUUUCUCACUUUUGUACCCUAUGGUAUAAAGUGUAUCAAGUUAGUAUCUUGUGGUUUUAUUUUUCUCUCGUCAACUCCUCCAUUAAUAUUUCAUUAAAUUAUAUACAAAAAAAACUUCAAAUAUUCAUCUAGAUUUCUCGAAUAUUCACUUUAAUAUCUUUAGUUUUAACUUUUUUAUUGAUUUAAUAAAAAAAAUAAUGGAAUAGAUAAUAAAAAGAGAAAAUUAAAUGAAACGAUAGAAUACUAAUUUGAUACACUUUAAAUCACUCACUAAAACUAAAGUGAGAAAAUAGAAAACCGCGGGGGUGGUAUUUGAAAUUUAUUCUUUGUUUAGGAUAAAAAUUAGACUAAAUUAUUCUUUUGAUCCUCAAACUAUUAUAAACGUGAUACUUUAAUUCUCAAAUUUUAUUUUUUUAUAAUUUUCUACAGAACCGUUACGAUCUAAUUCACUGACUCACAAAACAUCAUGAAUAUAUAUUGAAUUAUUAUUUUUUUAUAUGUAUAUUAAGUAUAGUAUUUUAUAUUACUUUUAAAUAUUAUUAUAUUAUAUGUACUUAAAAAUAUAUUCAAAUUAUAGAUUAUUAAAAAAUUAAUGCAUACUUUUAAUUAAUUAUGGAAAAUAUAAAAUAAAAAGAGAUAUCCGGUUCAUUUGUUAAACCAUAUAUUGGUCUGAAUGGUUUAAAACAUGUUUUAAGUCAAUUCAAUUUAUGGGUGAAAGCGAAUCGGUUUGGAUGCUGGAUUACGAUUCGACCCGUUUCAUCAGCCGACCUGAGUUGUAAAACAUUACAAUUUCGGACUCAAAUUUUUUAAAUUAUUAUAAUUAAAUCACAUGAUUCAAUUUAAUAUACUAAAUAUUAACAUAUCCUAAUAUAAAAAUAAUAAGACAUCUUAAUUAUUUUAAUAUUAUUAAUUAUAAUAUGCUAUCGUGUUACUUUCAUAUUAACGAUGCAUCAAUAUUCAAUCAACUAAUUAAGCUGAUCUGUAGAACUUAAUUAUAAUAAUUUAAAAAAUUUGUACCGGAUAUUAUAAUAGCUAAAGUUUGAGCAUUGAAGUGUUACACACCUUGUAAUUUGAGAACCAAAAUAAGAUAAAAUCAUGCAGAAUUUAUUUGAAUUGGUACCAUUGUGAUGCCCGGACUUCCCAGGGGGUCACCCAUCCUAGGACUACUCCCGUCCUAGCACGCUUAACUCUCUUAACCUCUUGGGUUUAGCCACGACCCAAAAUGCUUAAGCCGGGUUAAGAGUUUAGCCCUAUUAUAUCUUAUAUAUAGGACUAUCUGGGGUCUCACAAUUUCCCCUCCUUUAAGCCCUAACGUCCUCGUUAGGCGCAGACUCACAAGUACUAGGCGAUGUGAGACUCGUCUCGCUAGCCUUGUCAUUCCGACCCCGGCUCAGCCGAGACUCAUCUCACACUUUUGGCUGGUAAUUGGCUCUGAUACCAACUAUGAAGCCCCGACUUCCCAGGGGGUCACCCAUCCUAGGACUAUUCCCGUCCUAGCACGCUUAACUCUCUUAACCUCUUGGGUCUUGCCACGACCCAAAAUGCUUAAGCCGGGUUAAGAGUUUAGCCCUAUUAUAUCUUAUAUAUAGGACUAUCUGGGGUCUCACAAUCAUUUUUAUUCGAUUUUUUUUAUCAAUCAAUCAAUAAUAUUUUGACUUCAAAAUUUAAGCUUUUUUUCUUGCAGCUAAGUAAAUAUGAUUAGAAUGUUCCAUGUGCAAUGACUUUUGAGUUCAAUUCUCCCAUUGAGUGCAAAUGUGUUGUGAGGAGGUUGGUAAAAACUUAUUUUAAAAAAAUGAAAAAAAAAUAAAUAAAGGAAUGCCAAGGCAUAUUUGGAUUGAUAAUACUUUAAUGUUUGUAGAGCACAAGUGCAAUGAAAUUUAUUUUGUCACAAGUUCCACCACUUUAAUUGUUUAUUUUGACGAAACUUGUAAAUAAGUUUCCGACAUUUAUUAGUAUAUUUUUAUCGUAAACGAUCACCUAAUUUUAACACCUCUUACUUAUAUAUCUAGAUAAAUUUUAAGCAAAUAAUUUUAACUAAAUAUUAUUUGCACAAUUAUUAUGAGAAAUGGAGAGUGGAGGAGGAUGAGUUCACUAACAUAUGAACAAAUUAAGAAAAAUGUAUAAGAUGUUCUCUUUGUUAUUUAACCUCAUCCAUUUGAUCAGAGGAAGUAUAUUCUUAUUGCUGUAUUUAUAUACUGCAUAAAGUUUCAUACAAGUUUAGGUUAAACUCUUUUUGAGCCUGGUUAGUUUCAACUAAUUAUGGCUCGAUCCAAACCCUUGAUAGCAAUUCCUAAUAAUAUAUCGAUCGUGCUAAAUGUUUAGUACUUGAGAUUUCAAGUUUUAAGUUUAGUUGUUUCAUAUUUUUAAAAAAUCGUACGAAAAUUUAAAAACAACGUAGCACAUCCCCUUUUUUUUUUCUAUUAUUAACUUAGUACCACAUGUAAAUAUUAAAUACUGUUAUUAAAUUUGGUGGUUUUCAAAGCCCGGAUUUGACCUGAACAUCUUGAUAUGAAAUUUAAUUCUCAAAUUAAUGAAAAUGUUGGUAUCAUUAUUGUGUGUGCAUGAUCAAAGCAUCAUCUAUCUACAUUUCACAGAGAAAAAAUAUUAAGUGGAUGAAAAUUAAAAAGCUAUCAUAUUCAGCACCAGAGAAGAGUUUGGUUGCUUUUGUAUAUUCCAACAAAAACAACUUGUGUGGUUUACAUUACAUGGCCAAUAACAAAUAUUUGCCAUUAAAAAAAAAAAAAAAAAAAACUAAACAUAUACUAAAAGCCCCUUUGUAGAUUGUGAUUUACAAACCUCUGUUGAUUUCAAAAAUAUACAAAAUAUAUGCAUCUUUGAGCAAAUCAUCACUUAAACUUACAAAUUUUUAAUAUCCAUAAAAUACCUUAACAUUUUUUAAUAUAAUUUUAAAAUUAAAAAUAUACAGAGCUUAUUUAAAUUAUAAAUUAUUUUGAAUUAACUAUAUUCAAAAUUUUAAUUUUACUAUGCAAACUUGACAUUUUUAAGUUCAAAUUUUAAAUACAUUAUUUAUUUUCACUGAUUUAAUUAAAAUAAUUUGAUUAAUAUAAUUCAUAUAAUUUUCAUAAUUAUAAAUUUAUUAAAAUAAUUAAUUAACUUAAACUGUAAAGUGAAAAUAAUGUAGACAGAUUCAAAUCAAACGAAUUGAAAUAUUAAACAACAAAAUUAAAAUUUACAAAAUUAAAUAAUUAAUUCAAAAUAAUUCAUACGGCAAGUAAACUUCACACAUUUUUACCCAUUUACAAAAAUUCUAUUACUACACACCAAAAACUGAAUGCAAUUCAUAGUCCAUCAUAAAAUUUACAAAAACUCAAAUAAUUUUUAAUAUAAAAAUUAAUGACGUAUAUAAAAAAUAAAGACAUUUAAAUGAAGACACUACAACAAAAACGGUCUAUAGCGGCACUUUUAAAUGUAGGUACAUGUCAAAAAAAUGCUGCUAGCUAAAAUUACCGACACUUUUAAAAAGUAUUGCUAUAUGUAAAGUCGCUAGGUAUAUAGUGACAGUUAAAGAGUGUCACUAUAACCUAAAAAAGUGUUACUAAUUUACCAACACUUAUUUAAACAUUUAACAACCGCCGAAACUCUAUCUCGUUGGCUGCGGUGGCGGAGAAGGACGACAGGAAAGACUCUUCGUCUAGCAUUUAAAUGGAUUGAGUGAAGAGAGAAGAAAAAAUGGUAAUUGAUUUUUCUUUUCUUUUUUCUUUUCAGUUUGAAAUCGAGCCAAAUGGACUAGGUGUAGUAGAUUGAGUAAAGUAAUCUUUUAUUUUUUGUUAGAUUGGGCUUUAUAUUUAGACAUUACUCGAUAUUUUUUUAAAUUUUAGCAUAAAUGAAACAUUUUUUUAAAAGUGUCCCAAAUAUGUGUCCCUAUAACCUAAUUCUGUUGUAGUGAGAGGAUAAAAAAUAACAGCUAUAAUUUUCUUUUUGUCUUUUUAUGUAGUUUACAACAAUUACUUCUUGGUUUUGCAUUCUACAAACAACCCAAAAAACCCAAAGUACGAGUUCAUUAAAAAGAUUAGAAAAGAUACACAAAUUACAACUUAUUUCCACAUUCCAUACAAGAUAUAGAAUUAACAUUUAAAAUUACAUUUUAGUAUAUAUUUUCCAAUGUUUUAUCAACAGUGAUAAAAUUAUGAAGGAGCUAGACUCAAACGAUGAGUACAAAUUAAACGAGAUUUUCUAAUAAAUGUUUUAAAAUCGAGAGUAAACUGUACCUUGCAAUAUAUACAAGAAGAUUUUAUACAUAUUUACCCAAAAAUGAUUAACAAAAAGUAGACACAAAAUAGUAAAAAAAAACACUUUAUCUAAAUAAAUGUUGGAGAUAAAUUAAUUGGUUUUCUAACUAUUACAUUGAAGGUGACUAAGAGNGAACAGCUUCUGCAACUUGAAUUUAAUUAUUUAUGCCAAGUUUCUUCUGAAAGGUCACAACUAGUCACAGGUAUAUACCUGCAUUCAUAAAAAUAAUAAACAUAUAUAUAGAAACAAAAUAAGUACAUAUAUAUAUAUAUAUAUAUAUAGAGAGAGAGAGAGAAAGAGAGAGAGAGAGAGAGAGAGAAUUGCAAAAAGAAAUAGAAAAGAACCCAAGAACAGCUUCUGCAAUUUGAAUUUAAUUAUUAUGCCAAGUUCCUUCUGAAAGGUUACAACUAGUCACAAGUAUAUACCUGCACUCAUAAAAAUAAUAAACAUAUAUAUAUAUAAACAAAAUAAGCAUAUAUAUAUAUAUAGAGAGAGAGAGAGAGAGAGAGAAUAACAAAAACAUAAAAAAGAUCCCAAGAACAGCUUCUGCAACUUGAUUUUAACUGUUAUGCCAAGUUCCUUCUCAAAGGACACAACAAGUAGUCACAGUAUAUAUACCUGUGGUCAUAAAAAUACCUAACAUAUAUACAUAUAUAGAAAAAAGUCACUAAUCAAGCACCUGCAUCAAGCUUUGAUCAUUAAAAAUUCAGUAUGUGAGAUAUAAUUUAAUAUGAGAUGCACCAAAACCAUAAGUAGAUUUGAUCUAUGUUGAUCAAAAAACCAAAAAAAAAAAUUAGUUACAGUUAACCUAUGUAAGAUACACAUGCAUGUAUACAAACUUUUUGUAAAGGAAUUGUAAGCCUAGUAAUGGAGACUUACUUUCCACAUGUUGGAACAAAAAAUAAAGCAGGUAUAGAAGUGUCAGUAUAAUGCAAAUCUAAUAAAAGAUCUGCAAAACAAAGAACAAAAAAAAGAGCACUAGAAGGGAAUAGAUUUAACAAGGAAUCUAUGAGUACCACUAUUAGCAGUAGAAACAGUAGGAAUAAAGAGAACAUAAUAUAUAUAUAUAUACCAUGGAACUUAAGAAACAAACCAAAUGAAUAAUUACAUUUUUUUUCCUACAACAGAUAGAGAUGAAAAAAUUUUUAAUGAGAAACAUUAAAAGAGAUUAAGUAAUUAAUUAACAAAUCAAAAAAAGAAGGUUAUAAGAAGAGAUGAGUGUACAAAGCUCCCUCCAUCAAGUAUAUAUAAGUGAUGAGGACUAAUGCAGCUUUUAAACAAGCCAAAGGUGAAUUUUUUUUAUGUAGUUAGGUCAAAGAUGCAUGCUAAUUAAGAGUAUUAAGGUAGAAAUGCUUGUAAAAAAAAAUCUCUAAAUAAUUUCCUACAACAAAUAAAGGAGAAAAUUUUGAUAUGUUAAGCUCAAUAUGCAAAGAAAACUCUCAUUAAAUAUAUUCAUAUGCUUGUGAGAAGAGUUAAAAAAAAAAAAGAGAGAGAGAACUCAUCAAUUGCGAAGUUAACCUAAGAGGAGGUGAGAUAACCAACAAACAAAAUUAAUUUGUAAAUCAAACAUUUCCCUACUCAUAUAGCUCUAAGAUCCAUGCUAAGAAUCUAUAAAAAAAUACAAGUGCUUGUGAGAAAGAGAAAGGAGAUCUUAAAAAGUGAGGUAUAAAGUAGUGGAUGUAGAUGCAGAGCUCCCUUCAAUCCAAAUAGAGAUCAUGUAAGGGCUAAUGCAGCUCCUGUGUCAUGCAAACCACUAAACCUAUCUCAAAUACUCAUAUCCAUCUCUCUCUCUCACUCUCUCUCUUAAUAAACUCUUAAUCUCUCUCUCUCUCCCUCUCUCUCUCUCUCUCCCUCUCUCUCUCUUCUUUUUCUUCUAUGAGAUAGGAGAGUGGGAUCCAUAACUCAGCAGCUAAAUUGCCCCUCAAAAGACCCUUCAUUGGACCCAAGGAAGCUCCACCCCAGAACCCAUAGAACCAAGAUCCUCUAAACCAAAGAAAAAAAAAAGAAUAACAUACAAGAGUAAAAUAAAAGGCACAUAAACCAAAAAACCAGUGAAGUGAAAAAAAAAAAAAAAAAAAAAACCCAGGAAGAAUAUGAGACCAGCAGAUGGUGAUGGGUUCUUCCUUUCAUGGAAGCAAAAUCUCACCCCAAAAACACAACAAACAAAAAAGAAAAAGAGAAAGUUAAGAGAGAGGAAGGAAGCAAAGCCAAAUAAAUAGAUUUACAAACAAAGAAAUUGAGAUGUGGGCUCAUUUAUUUCAUGGAACCAACAUCUCAAAAAAAAAAAAAAAAAAAAAAAAAACACACACACACACACACACACACACACACACACAACAAAAAGAGAGCCUUAACUAAGAUUCAAGCUCUACAAAGCACACAACACAUAUAUUUAGCCUAAGAGAGAAGAAGAAGCAAAACCUAGUGGAAAGAGGAGAGGAGAGGUGGGUCCUUUUAUAGAAGGCUUCGAGAGAGAGAGAGAGAGAGAGAGAUAAUAAGGGGGAGUGGGUGUAUGGGGGGAAGGUUUAUUUACUCCUUUUUACUCCCUCUCCUCCUAUUUACUUCAUCAUAGAAUAGAUUGAUUGAAGAGAGAGAGAGAGAGAGAGAGAGAGAGGAGGAGGGGAGUCUCCUCCUUGGGAAGAGGCUUCAAUAGAUUCCUCUCUGACAAUCUUCUGACCACUCACAUGCCUGCAAGAUAAGAAAAUUAUUGCAUGGACCUGGUCCACCAGAUCAUCCAAUAUUGCUUUUUAAUUUUUGGAUGCAGGUAUAGCCUAAAUUUUGAAAAAUUCUACCUCGCAACAUUUACAUUAUAUUACCUAUUUUCAACCAAUUAAAUUAUUUUUAAAUAAAGUAUAAUAAAAAUAUUUUUUUUAAUAAUUAUGAUGGAAUUGUUGAAUCAAUGAAAAUAAAGGGAUUAGUUCGAAACAUCACAUCAAUAAUUUAAUUAGUGUAUUCUAAAUUUUUUCUCGACUUUACAGUAAUUUGGUUCGAUGUAAUUAUUAACGCUAUAGAAUUAGAGGUAUAUGCAAUUAAAAAUAUCAUAAUUCUAGUAACGUGAAAAAAAUAUAAAUAUAAAUAAUUUAUUUGGUUGUAUAUAGUUGAGAAUUAUAUUUAUAAAUUUUAUCCAUUAUAUAUAUAAAAUGGAUAGAUUAUUAAACGUGAAAGAAAAAAUAUUUUUUUAUUUACCAACAAUAAGAGAGCUAAUCUUACAUUUCAUUUAAAAUUGCUCUUCGUAAUUCCUCCGGUUGGAAUUAUGGUUAAUUUUUAGGUAAAUUUAAUUGUUGGUGCUGAGCCUUCUCAUGCAAGGUCAUCUCCUUACAAUUACAAUUAUAAAGCAAUUAUAACUAUAUAUUAUCAAACAAACCCUUAUUAAAGUAGUUUUCUCUAUUCUUUAGUCUUUUAAUUUUUAUAACAAAAUUCUCUUAAAUUUUAUUAAAUAAUUAUUUAAAACUUAAUCGAUCCACUAUAGCAAGCAAAAUCAGGAACUAAACCGUUAUACUAGUGACAUGCCUUAGACAUAAUUUUGUUCAAUUACAGUCACAGGAAAAAAUUAAAAAAAAAAAUCUCCUCCCAUGAAUAAUAUAAAAAAUGGGUGAAUAUAGAUGUACUUCAAAACUUAUAUAGGAUAUUUGUCGAGAAUAUAACUGUUUAAUUAGUAAUUUCGCUUCAGAAAAAUACUAAUUAAAUAAUUUAGUAAUAUUUAAAAUUGGCUAAAUUAUAAAAAAUUCUGCUGUCAAAAUUUGAUUUUUCAUUUUUUCUCUCUGUCAUUUAAAAAUCUGCACUUUGUCCCCUUAUAAAAUGAAAAAUUUACACUUCAUCCCCUACCGUUAGAGUUCCGUUAUAAAAUAUUUUUUUAUGCCAAAAAUACCCCUCUGCCGUCUUCUCUGUUGCUUCGCCUCCCUCUAGCUCGCCGCCUCACCGCCUCGCCAUCCUCCACUGCCUCGCCCUCGCCGACAUCCCCUUCGCCCUCCUCCGCCGCCUCGCCUUCGCCCUCGUUACCCUUGCCUAUCUCUCCAUCAAUGCCGACCUCGAUUUCCUCCUUAUUGUCGUUGAAUCGAGGGGCGGCAAGGGUACAGGAGGAGAAGGGGAGUAGGUGGAGAAAAAAAUUGAGAGAAAUCGCGGUCGAUCACGGAGUGAAUCGUGACCGAACGAGGCAGCAGGUUGAGGAAGACAAUGGAGGAGACGAAAAUGGUGAAGGGCAAAAUGAUCAUUUUACACACCGUACCCCCUUGUGAGCAUUUUUUAUUUUACAAGGGGACAAAGUGUAGGUUUUUAAAUGACAGGAGAGAAAAGUAAAAAAUCGGGUUUUGACAUAAGGAUUUUAUAUAAUUUAGCCUUUAAAAUUUUAAGAGGUUAUUUGCUAUAACUCAAACUAUUUAGUAAAUAUGUUUUUGUGCCUAAAUUUAUAUGAAAGGCCUCUAAUCUUUUGACGUUCUUGUCAACAAAAUUUCCUCGUAUGCACAUACUAUUCUCAAAAAAUAUGACUUGAAUUCAAGGCUUUUAUUUUAGAGAAAAAAAAAAAAACAACCAACGGGACAAUAUAUGCAGUGUCAAUCUAUUAUGUUAGCUAGGUAGGAAAUGUAUAUGAACUAAUCUUUUGUAGAUAAAUAUAAAAUGGAUGUGGACUUUAUUUUGUUUGAUCUAAAUUAUCAUACUCAAUUAAAUUAAAAUUGUAAUUUUUAAUAAGUAUUUAUUAUAUAUUUUUAGCUUAAAUAUGGUUAAAUCAUAUAUAAAUGAUUAAUUGGAUAUAACCUCCUAAAGUCAAAUAUGUAGUUCCAUAUAAAAAAUAAUGAAUUUUAAAAGAUUUCCUAUCUAAAUAUUGAUGUUGUUAGCUGAGCUAUUACUUGAUGCACAAUUUAUUUGAUAUUUAAGUCAUAUUUUAUGAUUUAAAAUUUAUUUUGGAGUUCUAUAAUGAAGUUGGUUAAAAUUAGGUUCACGCUGGACCAGGUCCAUGCAACUCUACUUAUCUAUUUAUCGCCCUUUGAUUUUGUGAGUGUGGAUAGGAGCAACGUAGUAGUAUAUUUCUAGAAAAUGCUAGAGCCGUACGUAACUAAUUUAGAGAUUAAUAAUGUAUUAAUUAAUUGAUUAAUUAAUUAAGACCAUAAUAAUGUUGUUAUUGGUUGGGAAAGCUCUAGAAGCAUAUAUAUAUAUAAUGCAAUAAAGAGUUAUGGUUUUAAUAAUCACCAUUUAUAGUAGUUAGUUAUUAUUGAAUUUAAAUAAUUUUAUGGCGCUUCAGGUACAAAAUUUAAAUUAUUUAUUUAUUUUAAUAAUUUUAUAGUCAUAUAAAUUAUACAAAAUAUUCUAAUUAAAUUCAUAAAUAUAAAUUAGCUCGAAUUAAAUAAAUUAAGAGAUUAGAUAAUUAAUAAGAUUUAAAUUUUCAAAGAUUAGAUCGUGAAAUUAAAAUAGGUGAUAGUUAAGAUAAAUUUAAUGCAUUUUUAUUUUUUUUAUUAUCUGGAUAAUUCAAUUCUUAAUGAAAUGUAUAAUUAUAUAAUUAGUUUAGGUUUUUGCUUAUUUCAAAUAAAUAGAGAAUAAUAUAUUAGCUACUACAAAUGAGGAUGCUAUUAUUAUUGGAUCAGAGCUUUUGCGACAUCUAGAACUAUAGCUAUGUGUGCGGUCCUCAUAAUCCCACAUAAGAUAAAAAUAUAUAUAUAUAUAUCAUUAAAAAUUUAAAAAACAAAGAUUCUGCUGACAAUAAUUAAAUUUAAGAGUUAAUUGCAUACAUCUCUCUAAAAAUAUAGCAAAUAACAAAUAUAUAUAUCUAUAAAGUUCAACUUUUCAUAUUUAUUCCUACAAAAGUUCUUACGUUUUCAAAUAUAUCCACGUUAUUAGAAUCCGUUAGGAAAAUAUAGUUAAUCAAAAUUAAAUACUUAAUUUUGAUUAAUAAAUAAGGUAAAUUGAUCUUUUUACCCCUCUCAUACUAUUUAUAACGGUAGAAAGGAAGAAGAUGGCUGUUAAAAAUUUUUAGGAUGAUAUUUCUGCAUAAUUCUAACAAUUGGCGCUUUUAGAGGGACAUAUUUGUAAUGGCAAAAAUGUCAUUUCACUUAUCUUUUAUUAGAAAAUAAGUCGUACUCUAACAAUAACAAUCAGAUGGACAAAUAUAAAUAUUACUGAACUUUUGUAGUGAUAAAUAUAAAAAUUUAUACUUUGUAUAAAUAUAUUUGUUAUUCGAUAUGUUUACAUGAAGCUAGCUGUAUAAAAUUAACCCUAAAUUUAAAUAUUUUGAGCAGUUGGUUUAAAUCCAACAAGUCAUGAGUGCUAGCGGACUAGAUCAUUUUAUUCGUUCGGAGCUCCAAUAAUUCCUCAAGGGAUGAAAAACAAAAAAACCAAAAUCGCUAAUAAUAAUAAUAAUCAAAUUUAAUUAUUUUAAAGCCAAGUGUGAGAGAUAGUAUAGCUAGUGAAGCAAAAUUAAACACUUAUUGUUGCAAGGUAGAUCACAUCCACACCUAAUGUAAUGGAUGGUUAUAAUAAUUAAUAUAGGGUUAACUAUCAUUUGAUGACACAAAAAAUAGAAAAAGGAAAUUAUAACAAUUAGCAUUUUGAUGAUACCAAAAGAGAAAAAAUAUAAAAAAAAUAAAAAAUCUCCCCAGUAUAUGAACUACAAGAGGUGUCCAAGGUUUUAGUCCCAGACCGAACCAAACGAACUAAAAUUAUUUGAUUUAGUUAUAUAAUUUUCGGUUCGGCUAAGAAGAGUUUGGUUCGGUAUAAAUAUAUUGAAAUUUUAUUUUCAGUAUGAAAAAUAUUUUUUCAUUUAAGUACGAAGAACUCCAUAUUUUUAAUAACAUACAAGAACUCCUCUCUCUCUUUAUAUAUAUAUAUAUAUAUAUAUAUAUAUAUAUAUAUAUAUAUAUAUAUAUAUAUAUAUAUAGAGUUGAGUUGGAAUACUAUCGAUAGCAAACGGGCUCCGUUGCCAUCCAUUUGCUUUCGAUGAUGGAGCCUCCAAAUCGACGAUCGGCACGGUUAAAAAUAAUCUAUACCACUUGAAGUAUUUAGAAAUCAAAUUUCAUACUUUUCCGAUACUAUUUUCUUGUCCAUCAAGUGGGCGUAAAAAUGAAUGGCUGAAAAUGAAUAUCCUCUAAAAAGUGAUGAUACAAAUUUUGUAAUCAUGAUCGAGAGUAUAGAUCUUGUUUUAAAUAAUUUAAAGAAAUUUCUAACCAAAAUUCAAUUGAUUAGAAUAGCUUUACACCAUUAAACGAGAAAAGCCCUCAUAUCAACCAUUAAAAUUACUAAUUUUGAAACCCUUUGAUCAUUAGGUAAAUGAUGUCGAAAAGAUUUGAAAUUUAAUUUCUAAAUACUUCAAGUGAUAUAGAUCAUAUUCAACGAUGUCGAUUGUCGAUUUGAAAGCUCCAUCAUCGAAAACAAAUGGAUGGCAACGGAGCCCGUUUGCUACCGAUAGCAUUCCAGCUCAACAAGAUCUAUAUGAGUCGAGCUGGAAUACUAUCGGUAGCAAACGGGCUCUGUUGCCACCCAUUUGUUUUCAACGAUGGAGCCUCCAAAUCGACGAUCGGCACCGUUAAAAAUGAUCUAUACCACUUGAAGUAUUUAGAAAUCAAAUUUCAUACUUUUUCGAUACUGUUUUCUUGUCCAUUAAGUGGGCGUAAAAAUGAAUGGCUGAAAAUGAAUAUCCUCUAAAAAGUGAUGAUACAAAUUUUGUAAUCAUAAUCGAGAGUAUAGAUCUUGUUCUAAAUAAUUUAAAGAAUUUUCUAACCAAAAUUCAAUUGAUUUGAAUAGCUUUACACCGUUAGUGACGUGACCUGUAAUUAUUAUUUUAUUUUUUGGAAUAAACUUUUAAUGACACUGAUUAUAAAUGAGCGCGCACAUGAUGAUCACUGUUUGUAAUUAGUAAUUAAUGACUUUAACAAAGUAUUCAAAUAUUACUGGCCAAGAUAACUUAAAUUAAAAAAAUUUUAAAAGAUGGUUAGGGUUACAUGCUUAUCUAUUCAUAUAUUAUUAUUAUUUUUUCUAAAAGUUAUUUUAUUUUACUUUAUUUAUUUUUUGAUGUGACAUACUCAUCCAAAUGUGUCGCAAUAAUAUAGGCUUGUCCUUAGUAUCNAUAUUACUGGCCAAGAUAACUUAAAUUAAAAAAAUUUUAAAAGAUGGUUAGGGUUACAUGCUUAUCUAUUCAUAUAUUAUUAUUAUUUUUUCUAAAAGUUAUUUUAUUUUACUUUAUUUAUUUUUUGAUGUGACAUACUCAUCCAAAUGUGUCGCAAUAAUAUAGGCUUGUCCUUAGUAUCAUUGGAACGGAGAAAACUUUCUCCAGCAGCUGCUAAAUAUAAAAUAUUAAAAAUAUUAUUAUACAGUGCUUCAAACUUUUAAAAAUUAAAAGUUAUUUUUGUUUUGAAAGUUCUGAAUUUAAAUUCUAUAUAUAUAUAUAUUUUUAGCACCUUAAAUUUUUAAAAAUGAGUAGACAAUUGACCAAAAUUACAUUUAGUCAAUUAAAUUUUUAGAAACAAGCAAUUGUAUUACAAAAAAGUUUCUUUGACAAAGAAAUACUUACUACCAGUAUUUUAAAAAUAUUUUAGCAGCACUAUAUUUAUGAAAUAUUUUGGUUUCUUAAAAGAAUUUUAAAAAAUUAGUAACAUGUAAGGACAAAAAAUUUGAAGGAUAUUAAUGUAGGAUUACUCCAGUGUAAUAAAAUUUUCGAUUGCUUACGUUAACGCAUAACUAGUGAAGAUAUCCGCGCAUUGCGGCGGAUCGAUUUCGUAGAAAAUAAAAAAAUAAAAGUCAAAGAGUAAAAAAAAUACAAAUAAAAAAAACUUAAGAAGAAACAACGAUAGCUACAAUAAAAACAUAAGUAUAAAAGUACAAGAAGAAUCAAAAAAGAAUAAAAAAAAAUUUAAUUAUAAUAAUAAUAAAUUUUUAUUUAUAAUAGUACGUAGUAAAAGUUGAGAAUUAAAAUAUUAUAUGCCUUAUAGUUGAAGUCAGAAAUUACAAUUAAUUAAAGUUUGAGGAUUAAACCAUCACGUGCCUCAUAAUUUGAGCAAGAAAAUAUAACACAUUAAAAGAUAAUGACUAAAAUGUCACACGUCUUAUAGUUUAGAAUCAAAAGUAUAAUUUAUCUUUCUUAUAUUUUAAUUCUAUUUCAGACGAACGCAAAGUUCUAUACGAUAUGUUAAACUAUCUAAUAAAUUUUUGAAUGUCUAAUUGUUAAAAUUAAAAGUCGAUCAAUUAUUUUUUAGAUAUUUCAAAAGAUUUUAAAUGUAAAAUUGAUCGUUCAUCAAACUAUAAAUAUGGCAUUGAAGUUUGAUAUGAAAAUCAAAGUAAAAAUAUAUAGAACUUUUUAGAACUAUAAACCAUUUUAAAUUAUGUAGUGACCUUGGAAUUCAGCAUUUGAGAUUUGUCGACAGCUCUGGAGAGUGUCGGGACGAGUUCGAGUCCUGUUGGCGUGAAAUAGGCGCAAACUGGACUCAGCGGGACGCGAGAGCAAAGAGUUAGCAUUGCAAUCUGCAAAUUACAGAUUUUCAGCAAUUAGUACCAGUACCAUACAGAGGCGUACCGGUACCCAGUGCAUUUUCUGCGCAGACUGCUCUCGGGCUGCCCAUUCUACUGCAGGGUACCGGUACAACAUUGGAUUGGUACCGAUACUCCAGGGUAGGUGAGGGGCUGUUUGGUCUUUUGAUGCCUCGAUCGUGUCACCCUCUCUCCCACCUCUUCAUAUACAUGUAGAGAGGCUGAGAGAAGGUUGGCAUGUUCUCUCAUUCUCUCUCUCUCUAGUUUUUGAGCCGUACGUGGUGAAGCUUUUGGGUGGAGUUCGGAUCGACGCCGAUGUCGCGCCGGGGAGCCGUUCGAGCACGUGGACGCCGUAGUUGCACCGAUUGGAGGCCGUUCGAGCGUGCGGUUCCACUUCCUUCGACUUCUCGCCGUGGUUGGACGCCCUUUCGAGAUGGGUCAAAGUGAUGCUUACCGAAUUUUACGGGUUUCCUCCUAAUUCUAUAUAUGUCGACAGCAUGUGUUUUUAGCUUUGUUAGUACAUGGUUUAGCUCGAUUCUCGGAACUGCAUGCUUUUGAACGUGAAUUGGAGUUUAGAAAAAUUAGCUAAAUUAUACAUGUUGGACUUGAAUUUGACUUAGGAGAAAACUAACGUUUCUACACCGUCAUUUGAUCAAACUACCAAAUUUAGGUUUAUGAGCCGUAGUUUAUUUGUAUAGCAACAGUUUGUGGGCGGUGGAUAUCCAGAAUAGUGUAGAAUAAUAUUACGCUCGUGCUAGGAUGCCGUGCUUAUUUUUACAGUAUUAUUCAGACUGUUUCAGAUUGUCGGGUGCCGUUGGGGUUGACGGUGGACCCAAAUGGCUGUUUUUAUAUCAGAUUGUGUCGAGGGUACGUGUGUUUUGGUUGUUAGACCCUGUUAUUUGACUAUAGCUUGUGAGAGCCAUAUUGAGCUCGACAGAGACACACUUGCAUACUCGGUUGGGUAGCGACCAUGACUGCCACUCCGGAGUUGGGCUUUGUGCUUUUGCAUUGGUGUCGUUUAGUCCUGAUUGGACUUGCUUUCACUAAUGAUCGAAUUUGGUGUCAGUUAGUGUAGUUUCGACGGGCGGGACUGGUGUGUUCACAGUCCCUAGUGAGAUUGGGUCAGGAUUUAUAUUUUCUACGGAUAGUUGUAUUAGAGUAUGAUAGUAUAGUGGGAUUUAGCAGUAGAUUUGUUCCAGCUUUCCUUACUAUCCCUACUUACUUCUGUAGACUUAGUGUGUGAGCCGUUGAAGUCAGUAGCGGUACCCACUGAGUACUAUUUCUUUUUGCAGUAGUUCUCACACCCAGUUGUUGAAAUCUUUUGCAGAGCCAUCUUCUUCGGCUGCUGCUGCUGCUGAGUCCGAUCGUGGAAAGGGCGUGACGAGUUAGAGCCCUCCUAACGAGUUGUGGAGCUAGAAGAGUACCAGCUACAUGUAGUUGUAGUUUUUGAGUUAUUAUACAUACUGAUGCUUAUGUAUCUCUAGAGUGAAUAUUUUGUUUACCUGAAUGUGAUGUAUGUAUAGUGAACCUCUGAUAUUUAUAUAUGUUUUAUUUCGGCAGCUCUAUACUACUAGUUGUAGUAUUGUAUGAUUACAGGUACAGGUACAGCUAUCGGUUCGUAUACAGGAAAAAUUUCUUUGUAACCGGCGGAUUUAUCGACGUGGCCGGGAAAACGAGUAAUCCAGAGGUGACAAAUUAGCUAUCCAACAUUUCAAAAUUUUGUUUUUAUCAUCAAAUCUUUCUACAUGUUAAAUUUGAGAGAGUAAAUAAUACAUUAAAUUUAAAAUUUAAAUCUAUCGUUCAGUUUAUAGAUUUAGUUAAUACACUUUACAUAAUUUUCGCAACUAAAUUUAUUAAAAUAAUUUUAACUUAAACUCUAUCAAUCUCUUUUUAUUUUUUAUUAUACAAUUUAUAUCUAACUGAUUAAUAUUGUAAAAUUAAAAUUUAUAUUUAAUACAUAUAAUCUAUACUAUUUACAAAUUACAUAUAAAAAAUUAUAUAUCUUAAAUUUUUAUGACGAAAGAGAAGAGAAUUAAAUUGGAUUUUUAAAAGAAAAAAAUCUAAUUUCUUUACUCCUAAUUAAUUACAGCUCCCCUUCCUCCGCCACCUGGCUAAAAAACUGAGAAUUCAUAUAUGGACAUUAACAUAUAUAAAUAUAGAUGUGAAAUGUAUAAAUUAUAUGUGUUGUUUGUUGUGUCCUUUAUUGAAAAUAGAGGGGCCAAAUUAAUCGAAGCACCGUGCCUUAAACGGAAAAAGGACAUUGAUCCCCUCAAAGGGAAACAAGGUUAAUUAAUUAUACACAAGUAAUAGAAUUAAUUGUAUAAGUAAUUGGUCCCCAUUUGGUGGGUCUCUCCAUUAUAAACUUCUUCUCUAGAAAAGAGCUGUUCCUCAAGUAAUUAUAACCGGUGCAUUUAUAAUCAAAUCCCAUCCUUAACGAACAGUGAUAUUCAAAAAAUAAUAAAUAAUAUUUACUACUUACUAUAUAAAUUUAACCAAUUUUAUUGUAUUUAGUUAAACUAUACAAAACAAUAAAUAUUCUCUUAAAAAGAAUAAGUUAUCAGAGAAUAACAUUUAUUUACACUGAAAAAGUCUAACGUGACUCAAAUUCAGAAUCUCCUACUAUAAUAUCAUAUUAGAGGAUACAAAGCAAUCGCUGCAUUCCAAAAGCUUAAAUUACGUACUAGAGAAUAGUGUUUAUAUAUUUUAUUCAAUAGAUAUAGUAUAGUAAAUAGAAAUUCUAUUUGUGCACCUCUAAAACAGAUGUAGAUCUUAGAAGUCAUUGAUCCAGGAGCUCUUAUUACUUAUUAGUUUUUUUUUUCAACUAAAAACUCAUUUGAGUUCUAUGAAUUUUUUGAUAGAAGUGUCAGAUUUAUACAUAUGUUCAGGUAUAGGUAUAAAUAUAUAGAUAGUAUUUUUCUAGUAAAUAUAUAUAAUGUUAACUAAUAUUUGGAGCUAGGCUGGUAUACUAUCAAUAGCACAGAGGCCUUCGUGCUAUCAAAUUAUUUUCAAUGUUGCAGCUUUCAAAUCGACGAUCGGCUCUAUUAGACUUGAUCUACACUAUUGAAAGUAUUUGAAAACUAAAUUUCAUAAUUUUUCGGUAUCAUUUACCUAUCAAACAAGUAAUCUAAAAACGAACGGCUGAAAAUAAAAAUCUCAUAAAAAAUGAUAAUAAAAAACUUGAAUUUAAAAUCAAAGGUACUAAUCUUAUUCUAAAUAGUGAAAAAAAUUUUCUAUAAAAAUAUUAUCAGAUUUGGAUUGUUUUACACCGUUAAAUUCACAAACGCAUCACAUCUACCAUUAAAGUUGUCAAUUCUAAGACAUUUUGAUCACUAGUCAAAUGAUGUCGAAAAAUUAUGAAAUUUAGUUUCUAAAUACUUUCAAUAACUUAUAGAUCAAGUCUAAUAGAGCCGAUCAUCGAUUUGGAAGCCGCAUUGCUAAAAAUAAUUUAGUAGCACAAAGACCUCUGUACUACCGAUAGCAUACCAGCCUAGCUCCUAAUAUCACCACCAUAUAUAUUUGGCAGACUCUCUCCCA